rnacentral:lncRNA from 1 species
AUUUAAACUUUGCACCGAACUAAACAUAGCCUAAUACUAGUCAGUUUCGUCCUGGACUUUGUCGAGCUGUGUUGUUCAAUGUUCACCGCCAAAGUCCCCAACUCCAACCUGCCCCAAUCUCAUUUGAAUGGAUCAUCUAGCAAGUUUUCCAAGCAACGAUCUUUUUAAGAACAUUACUAUUUAAAAAACUUUCUAUUGUUCAACUGUGUUUAGAUUGUAAAGUUUUGGCGUAUCACAUUGUAUACGGAGACACAUUUAAAGUAUUAAACAUAUUCUAAUAACAAAACAAACUACUAUAAAGCCUAAUUAAUUCGUCAUUAGCAACGAAUUUAUUAAGCCUAAUUAAUCCAUCAUUAGCAAAUGUUUACUGUAACACCAUAUUAUCAAAUCAUUGCGCAAUUAGGUUUAAAAGAUUUGUCGCGCAAUUUACACGCAAUCUGUGUAAUUCAUUAUUUUUUCAUUUAUAUUUAAUACUUCAUAUUGUAUGUACCUAAAUAUUUGAUAUGGCAGGGUGUAAAAUUUUAUCGGGAGAUCUAAACAGGGCAUGAUUCAUUUGUACACUUAAAUAAUAAAUACUUAGCACAAGAAGAACACACCUAACAGCUCGUGCGAGGCCGUAGGCUUAUACAGUACAGUUUGGAGUUCGUUGGUUGCCGAGAUUAUCUGGCAAGCAGAUCGGGCGAGGCGGCUGGUCGGCCGGCGAUCUCUCUCCGGAUCCCGGCGAAGCGGCCAUUGACCAGACCACCGCGUUGAGAGAGUUGAGAGAGAGAGAGUGGCGUGGCGGGUUGGGCUUUCGCGUGGAUCAUCGAACGGACGGGGCGGUGCGUGCGACCACCACGCAACCACGUACGUAGCCCGUAGCCGGCCGCCCUCCCGUCGACGUCGUCGUCUACUCGUCUCCACACCCAUCGUUUUGUUUAUUCGUGAAAUAAGUUAAAAGACAUAUAUUUAUAAAUAAAAAGUACUUUAUGAAAAAAGAUUAUAUACAUGUUCUUAUUUAUUUAAAAGUAAAGACUGAAAAAUGAUCUUCGAUAAAAAAAAUCUUAAAUCAAUUUUAAAUUUAAGAUUAAAAUUUUAAAAUUUAGUUAAUAAGUAUAAAUAUAAGCGUAAAUAUGAGUUCCGCUACGUCUAUGUGGCGGUGGUGGUGGUCACGUUUUUUUAUGAGAAAAGAGGCAGGCGAGUAGUACACUGCGCCCACCCUGUGUCGUACGCGCGGCGUCGCUGUCGCCGGCGACUAGUCGCGUGGUCCGAGGGGCGGACGAGACGGGAUCAACGGAGUUGAGACGAGGCGGGAGCGGGAUGCGAAGCUUCCCAGAAGUCCCCGCCUCGUGGCGCACGAGCGACGCACGAUGGAGGUGAUGAGAGCGAGACAAGAAAGGAAGAGGAGGCUGCUUUGUUAGUUUGUUUUGCUUGGCCUGGCUUUGGCCGUCCUUGUUCUUGUUUGUUGUUUCGAUGAGCAGCUUGCUGGCAUGUCUUCGUUACUGUCGCCUGCUGCCGCUUCUUGUUUCGUCCACUUCAGAGCAAGUUUUAAUACGUAGUAGUAUAACUAACUAAUAACUCUAAAUUAUUUAUAGUCAAUUUUAAUAGAUAACUCAUAUAUACAAUAGUUAUAUAUAAAUAUAUAUUACACUAUUAAUACCCGGUCUCACUUAUCAUACAUGUAUUGCGUCUUGGAAUCCAUACUGCAAUUGGGUACAAAUAUAUAGCCCGCUGCUCUUCUCUCUCCUAUUUUAUCUCCUUGACAUGUGUUUAUAAUAUGUUAUUGUACCCAGGGUUUAACUUAACGUUUUGGAGGAGGUUAUCGCCACCCAUGGUAAGGUGGUAACCGCCAAAAACCGUGUGAAUUUCGUCUUCAAAAAUUUGGCGGUUUCGCGGUUACCACACGUUUUGACGUGGUAACCGUGAUAUUUGCAGAAAACAUGAAAAAAUGAAAAGGAACUAAAAAAAAGAAAAAUCACUUAAAUGUGUGUAGAAAUUGAGGAAGAAUAUAUAGGACAUUUGCAAACCUAGUUUGUGGAUGUAAAAUACAAAAAUGAAGCCCAAUAUAUUUUUUCUUUUUCUAUUUCCUAAACAAUUAUUGGUUUUGCCCUCAAAUUUGAUUCUAUCUUACUCUUUUUUCAAAAAAAAUUCUUCACCGUCUACCAUUAAGAAUCACGAACUACAUCCAUGAUUUUUUUUCUGAAAAUUUGAAUUUACUCAAAAUUUCUUAAACCCUAAUCCCCGGUAACCGAUCCCCUCCCCUGCGUAAGUGCGAUAACCGCAAUUACUGCAUGAUAACUUGAACCCUGAUUGUACAUGCUCUCACAGUGUUCGUUUCGUCUGCUUCGGGGUUUAUGCCUUGGCUUUACCCUCUCAUAUUGAUUUGGCUAAAGCACAUAUGUGAUGGAGCAGUUUUUACAACAUAACUAAAUAGAAAGAUGAACAUUUAUAACAAAAUAACUUAUGGAUGGAAUGUCAAACUUCAUGUGGCUUAUACGAUGGUUUUUUAUUUUUCCCAAUAAAAAAUAGUAUGGUAUUUUUGGACUCUGGGAUUUUUAACGAAUCACAUCUAGAAGUUUAUAUCAAUAUAGCAAAAGAAAAAAAAUAAUCCUAUAAUCUAGGGAACUAUAACUGAAAAAAAGAGGAAAUAACAUAAAAGCCACCGCACCAUAUGACAACAACGCCUCAAACCGCAAAGCGUGGGAAAAUGUUCUUACUUUUAACGGUGAAUAUAAAAAUUGACAAAAAAAAACAUACUGUAGUUUUGAUUAAAAUUCAAGAUCGGCUUAAGAAUUCUAAAUCAACAGCUCAAGAAACACAUGAGCAUGUUUGGGACUUAGGUCUUUUUGGUUGCUAACCAUAACUUGUUUACUGUUUGUCACUCCUAAGAUUAGCUACAGUUAUGAUAAAAUUUUCUUGCACAAAUUAAGUUCUACCAUCAAUGACUCGGAAAAGUGCGAUAAUAUUAUCUUAAGUUUACUAAAGUGUGGUAAAUAUUUUCGAGCAUAUAGCCUUAAUCAAGUUUACUAACUUCUGUUAGCAAAUGGUGAUAACAUGUGGAUGAGAACUAAACAGACCCUUAACUCUUUAGAGGAAUCGAUGGGUUUAGAGCAGAAAAUGAUGAAUAAGUCAUUUCGACCCUUAAACUCUUUACUUUAUUUAAAACUUAUUAAACUCCAAAACCACACAUUUCAUCCCAUUUCAUUAACCCCUCCCAAACAGUAUUUUACCAGCUGGUUUCCAGCUAAUUCUGAUGUGCCAAACUGGCAAUCCUGUCAACAUAGAAACUAUAAAUAGCUGCAAUAACCUUAAUAAAAUUAAGGUCCCUUGAUCCGGUACACCGGAUCCUGAAUCACCAGUGAAAAUAGUUGCAGAAUAAGUAACAAAAGUACUCCCUCCAUCCUAUUUUAAAACGUAGCUGUGAGUUUUGUGUCUAACGUUUGAUCAUCCAUCUUAUUUAAAAAUUUAUGAAAAAAAAUUAAAUCACGCAUUAUCUAAUAGCAACAAAAAAUAUUAAUCAUAAAAAAAUUUAAAUAAAAUGAAUAGUUAAAUAUUGGACACGGAAACCUAUAACUACAGACGGAGGGGUACUAGUCUAAUAUACUGCGGGUAUAAAGUUUCUUUCAUAGGAACAGUACUGCUAUCGUUUUAGUUUGUGAGAUGCUGCAGCGAAGGUUGGGUUGUCAACAGCUAAGCCGCGACGUUUCGUACUGGCUUUGACCAAACCCCGCACAUGGGCUUGACCAAUUAAAUUUUGUCGCAAACGAUCGGAAAAAAAAAAUUCAGUUCGUUCGUGUGUGCGUGCGAUUGUGCUCGCGUGCACUCUUCGCUUGGUCGGCCUCCUCCUGGAGUCCCCGGUUGCUGUCGCCAUUAUAUACUCCUAUCUCUCUCCUUACUUCUUCAUCUAAUCAUCUCCAAUUCCUCGAGCCUUUUUUAUUCUUCUAUUAUGCAGGCUGGAAUUGAAACGAGGGUUUCUCCAAGAGGAUAGGUUAUCCAUCACAAUUAAGUGUGGAAAUUGACUGGCUAGUGAUUGAUGUUAUCCCUCAACUAAGCGUUUUUAGUGUAUGGUACUAUGUGUUGUUUCUCUGGGCCUAGUGGGCGAGUCUUCCUCGUGUUCGUAACGGUGCUGGGAGUGAACUGCUGCGCAAGUCAGGUUAGGGAGUUGAUCACACUUCGUCGUUGCACUUUGUAUUAGAGUUAAAGUGGAUUUCACUUUUGCAUCGAAGUUGUGCCAGGGUGUGUUCUAUGCUCUCCCUUCCCAAUUAGUACUUAAUCCAUGAGUAAAGUACAUCACCAGUCUCUAAACUUAUACCGCUGUAUCAUCCCGAUUCCUAAACUCGCAAAUCAACCAUCAAGUCCUCAAACUUGUUCGACUAUGUCAUCCCGGUCCCUAAGCUUAUAGAUCACUCGUUUAGGUCCUCCAACUUGUUUAGUUGUGUCACCCCGGACCCUAAACAGGACAGUCUAAAAACUUUUGUAUCAAAAAAUAAUUCAUAACUUUUUCAUGUGAACUCUAAUGAAGACAAACUUUAUAUCAAAAUUGUAGCCCUCGACGCGACCUACAACUUUGUAGUUGAAAAUUUUUUGAAUUAAAACUGUUUAGGAUCCCAAAAUAUUGUUGCAUGUUUAUAGAUUUUGAAAUUUUAAUUUUAAAAUUACAUUUUGGGACAAAAAAAUGACUUAAAAUAAAAAAAUUUCAACUACAAAGAUGUAGAUCGCGUCGAGGGCUACAAUUUUGAUAUAAAAUUCGUUUUCAUUAGAGUUCACAUGAAAAAGUUAUGAAUUAUUUUUAAAUAUAAAGUAUUUAUAUCGUCCUAUUUGACCCAUAUGAUAUUCAAAUCCAAGUUUAGAGACCGGGGUGACACAACUGAACAAGUUGGAGGAUCUAAACGAGUGAUCUGCAAGUAUGGGGAGCGGGAUGACACAAUAGAACAAGUUUGAGGACCUGAACGGUCGAUUUGUGAGUUUAGGGACCGGGAUGACACAACGGUACAAGUUUAGGGACCGGUGAUGGACUUUACUCUUAAUCAAUUAUACAUUAAUAAUUCAUCCUUUUUUUUUACUGGGAGGAAGGGUUCCUAACCCUCAACACCACCGAACACACCCUAAAAAACUAUAGAUAUCUUUUACUCCAUAUCAUAUCCACAAAUAACGAGAAGGCUAAAAUGAGCCACUACAUUCUCCGCAAAAUAUCAUUGUAUCAUAAAAAUAGAGGUAAACGAAUAUAAAGUGCAACUCUAAUUUUAGCUAGACUUAAAAAGAAAUAAUACAAUGUUUUGCAGUUUAUAUGAUGCACUUUUUUGCAGUUACUCGGAGAAACAUCACCACGGCUGACACACACCUCUAUGGACUACGGACGUAUAGAGCGGUGAAUACGACCCCUAAUAGAUGCUCAAGAAGACGAUGACUAACGACAUAUUCUUGAUCUCACUAAAUUGUUAUUGAAUGUUCAAACUUAAAUUUAUACUGGUGCAAAAGUGAGUGUGUGUGCAAAGCCAAUUCAUCCUCCUCCUUUUGUCAUAGAGUCAAUCUGAAUCUUUAAAACUAUAAAACCAAAACUGAAAAUCAUGAAAUACAUAAGAUUACCCCCCCAAGACUUCGACUUUGACAUUUCGCUGGUUCUUCUCAGCAUCCACGCAAAACAACUACCUCCUCGUCAUCGUUAUCUAAGCUUUGAACCACUACAGCACCUAAUACCUAUAUCAUAUCAGCAAUCCGUUUUUUCCCCUCACUCGCAAAAAAAAAAGAAGUUUUUUAAAAGGAAAUAUCAGCAAUCAGUUGGAACUUGGAAGCAUACGACAGCGAUAUGGGAAACCUUUUAUCGGAUAAUCUUGCAGAAGCUUUGAAUGGUAGUAACCUGUUCUAUUUUAAAUGAAGAAGAUAAACUGUGUUCAAACUUCAAAGCUGACUUUGGAACAUUUUGCUCAGGCCUAUCUACAGGAGCGUUCACAUGAAUAUUUAUAAUACAUACAACAUGCCCAUAAAUGGAAAACAGAAUCAUUAUUUGAUAACCUUAUACCAUUAUAUAUAUAUAUAUAUAUAUAUAUAUAUAUAUAUAUAUAUAUAUAUGUCAUGUAAGGUUUUAUCUAGGACUAGUCAAAUGCAAACACAGCUCAGGUGAUCUGGUUGCAUCAUCUUUUAAUGUGCUUGCAGAUUCCCCCCUAAACUGUACCGUGCUUAGAAUUGCCACGUGCACGGGAAUGAAAUACUAGCAUAUAGUAUUACCUAAAGCCGAAGAUGAAAAUGAAUUGCUUCGAAAAGGAGGAAAGAACAAAGCAAGAAACAAGACCCACUUGUAAAAAAGACAAGACACAUAUAUAUCCUCUGGAAUUCCACUACCAAUUGCAGCAUAUUUUCAGUGGAGCCGCCCUAUGUACCUCUAGUAUAUAAAUUCCCUGAUUCGUGACACUGAAAACGACUUCCAUGAGCAACAAGCAUAUCAAAUCGAGGCUGCUCAAAUAUUUAUUUCAAUGGAGUUAGGUCAUAAUUUACAUGGUCGCAACGUCCACGGUUCAUUUGUGGAAAGUCAAUACCAUUAUUUGCGGGAAAAAAAUGAAAAAGUAGCUUGGUGCUGAUCCUCUAUAGCUAGGAAGUGGACAUCAUCAUACCAUAUCAGUUAUAUAAGUUGGCAUAUAAGAACUGAGAAGUUUACCAGUUACCACCAUAUGUUGACAUCAAUUUUGAUAGAAUCUACCCUUCUAAAAGUAAUAGAAUGGAGUAGAAAUCAUGUAGGAUUUAUUUUUGGGGGCUUUUGUUGGAGGAAUUCAGGAUUCCGUUAAACUUUGGUUCCAACUAAAUCAGCGGAAACCAAAUCAAGCACGCACUCAAGAGCCUCAUCAAGAAUUCAAGACAUGAAGAUAGAUUUGGCCCAUACGAACGCAGCAACAAAAGCAGCCAGUUUUAUCUGCUACCCUAUCACACUCUCUUAAGCACAAAACUACACUAUUCUCAGUGACCAAUACCAUCCAAGCAAUCAGAAAGAACGUCAACAAAACUUAAUGGGCCAGCCAAUAAGCUUAACAUUCAACCUAAGGAUUUUCCUCUUUGGGCUAUAAAAUUUCAACGGCCCACUAAUCCUCACCCAAUGGGCUUUUGGACUCCGUUUAAACCGACAAGUUCCAAGCUAAUAUGGCAUGGCAUUCUGGGUUUCUUUCAGGGCAUUGAUCAUCGGGAAAAUAUGCGGUGGAAACCACGUAUACAAUGGAAACCUAGAAACUACCGCUUGAUCGAAAAAUAGACGUUCGAGAUUCGUCCACGUCAUCACGAGUAAAAAAUUUACUCACGGAUUUAUUACUCAUAGUGACGUGAACAAAUCUCGGACGUCCAUUUUUUUAUCCAAUGGUAGUUUUCAUUACAAUGUGGUUUCCACCAUAUAUUUUUUCCUUGACCAUCAGGUGCAUUUUCCAGUACCAUGAUAAGACGAUGUAAUGUAAUGUUUGCGAUUAUAUUCUAAAAUCCAUAAGUCACUGAUAACCACAUAUAUGCCCAUAAAAAUAUAAUAUUAUGAUAUCUACUGGAUAUGACAAGCAAGAACCAAUAUGAGUUUUUACAUGUCAAAAUCAUGCAUACUCCAUCCGUCCCAAAAAAAAAGACAACCUCUCCUAGCACAACGAGGCAGUAACAAGCAAAUCCACUUUUCGAGAAACCAAAAUAGACCGCAUACUCCCUGACAGUAAUUAUUACACACUAAUAACCGGUAAAACCCUUGCUCCUGCAGACAAUUUUUUUUUUGCUGGGUCGGCCGAAGGAGGCCGACCAAUUUCAUUAAGAUUUGUGAAGAAAAGAGCAAAUACAAAGUUGAUUUACAUCGGCUAAGAGAGCCGAGCAUGAAAAAGCCAAGGGCUUAUCCCCAGGAAGGAAGAAGAGGGCAGAGUGACCAAAAAAAUAAGAAGUCGACUACUCGCUAAUUUCUGCAACUCCUGCAGGCAAAUAUUUAUUUAUUUAUUUGAAAACUUUUCUAAUAACACUCUUAAAACUAACUCAUCUACACUUUUUUAUCUUUUGGCAUGCCACUGUGGCCAUUACCGCACCAUCAUCAUCGUCAGUGGUACGGAUUGCUAUGCUUCGUCAACCAUAGUGGCAUCACAACUGUCCCUUAAAAUUGCGGUGUCCUUUUUACUAUUUUAUUUUAUUUUUUGAUAAAAAGGAUUUUGAAAAUAUCUUUUUUCUUCUUGUGCAAGGGAAGACGAACACGGUCAACAUUCAAUAAGGACGCGAGGCUGCAACUGGACACCAAACAACGGUGACGACAUCACACGCGCGGGCAUAGUUAUAUACGUGACGAAGCACGAACAGAACAAAACUGCCCGUCAAAGCAGGUACUGCUAAGCAUUCAUGGAUUGCUCAUUGUUGCUUCUUGAAUAACCCCACUGGCCUACUAGCAAGCUCAAAUUAAAAUUAAGUAUCUUAAUCAGUAAGAUAUAACCCAACCUGCACCUUUGCCACCUCAUGUGGUUUUAUUCAAAAGGAGAACGGAAAAUAAGCCCAAAGAUACCAAGGCACUCUUAUCGUCCCAGCAAAUUCUACCGUACGAUUAUAUGUUCGCUCAUCGCUCGCCGUAGAACCGUGAAGGUAAACCAGCAGCACUAAUCUUUUUUUUUUUUUUUGCGGGGAAAAGGGAGAUAUAUUACUCAUCCGCACCCAAAACGUGCGGGAUAAAGUUACAAUUAUCAUCCGGCCAAAAGGCAGUUAAGGACUCACAUCUACCUUUAUUUGCUAAGACAUGACAGUCUCUGCUUUGACCACGACUAACUUUUUUUAUGACAAUCUCCCUAUUUCCUUUAAGAAGGAGCUUAACUUCCCUGAUCAGGAAUGCCAAAUCGGACAUGGCCUUCUCAUCAGAGUGAAUCAAUUGCACCAUCUCCAAGCAGUCCGUUUCCACAAUGAUGGGCAGCAGCGUCCAUUGUAGCGCCAUGCUGAUCCCUUCCCUACAAUCUACCAUCUCAGCUUCCAGAGCACUUGCCGGUCUGUGCAAAACACCACAAGCCGCAAAAAUUAGGUUCCCAGAGCUGUCCCUGAGAACAGCGCCAGUUCCUCCCUUCCCAUCACUAGGGUAAUAUGAGCCAUCAACAUUUAGCUUCAUCCAGCCUUCCUGUGGUCUUAUCCAAGAGCUGGAUUCUGCACUUGGCUUGCAUUGUCUUGGCAAAGGCAUUGACGACCCAUAUUGAACCACAUGUUUCCCUUUAAUCAAAUUGGCAUUCGGGUGUUGUCGAAUCUCCAACAGUGAUGCCAUAUAACUGAUGAUAAAACGUUGGGAAACCUCCACCGGAAUUGCUGCCUUUCCAUGAGUAAUCCCAUUACGUACAUACCAAAUUCGCCACAGCAGCAUCAUGAGCCCCAUGCGCUCCUCCUUUGAAACUCUCCCUGAAAUGUCAAGGAUCCAGUCAGAAUCUUUCCAGUUGCUGUCCGGUUUGCAGGAGAUGGCAUUGGUGUUUCCCAUGGCUUCCCACAGGUACUUCGCAUGCGGACAACGACACAGAGCGUGAGCAACAUCCUCUUCCUCUGUUCCACAGAUGGUACACAAGGAGUUUUGCUCUAGAUUCCUUUUCUUCUUAUUCACCAUAGUUGCCAGACUGUUAGUGACAGCUCUCCACAUAAACACCUUGACUUUUGGGGGCACAUUACAGUUCCAAAGCUGGUUCCAAGCUUUACCAAGCUCAUUUCCUGAUGAGCUUGAACUAUUAUCAGCACUAAUCUACCAGCUACGUCACGCAGCAAGAUCAAACUGAACAUGGAAAAGUCUUGCAUGCUAUUGAUGUGCGCUAGUCUAGAAGCAGCAAAGUAGAAUUGAUGUGCACUGCCAUUAGCUGAAGACUUGCGUACCUUGGAAAUCGCACGCGGUGAUAGAUACAUGCCACCUUAGUCAGGCAGGUCUUCCUUAAUUUUCAAGAAUUCACACACUUGACACUUGCCACCAUCCUACACAAACAAGUCACCGGUGAAUAAAUGACCUGGAAGGCUGGAUCAGUAAAAAAUCUGGGAGAGAACUGUACAUGUAUCAGUUGCCUGUAGCAAACAUUACUGCACCUGUAGCAGUUGCAUCUACUGUAGCACGUUGUCUUCGAAUGGAUGAGCAAGAUUAGCUCAAAACUACCAAGCCGUGCUUCUCUGACUUGCUUCAGAGAAUCGAAAUCCCUUUCUUUGAAAGGAUCCUGCACGAGAAAGAAGCGAGUGGUCAAGUCCACGUUGCAGUUCAACAUGAAAGGGAGUUAAAACUUAACAGAACCAGCUUGCAGAAAGAUGCUUCUCAUCUUUGCCUACGAUAGCUGCUCAAGUUAGCGCCCAACAAUAUUGAAGUCAUACUUUUGGCAACAACUUGGGCCGUUAUACACUGUUCAAAGCUUCUGACUAAUCAAAUGGCCAAAAGGUCGUUCAUGCGAACGUGACUUGCUCGUGCUGAAGGCAAAACUUUCCUAAUUGUACUUCACACUAGUAGCCAAGUGAGGUUUAAGGUAGGUGAUCCUCUUUUUAAUGGCCGUUUGUGAAAAUCAAUUUGCACAACUAGGUUUGUUAUUAGUGCAUGAUUAAUUGAGUGUUGACUAUUACAAACUUAAAAAAUAGAUCUUAUUAUUAUUAUUUGAAAAAAACUUCUAUAUAAAAUUUUUUAAGUGACAGCAGAUAUCCCAGCAAAAUAGUUCGAUCAUCCUUGUGCAAAAAGGACUGGUAGCCUGGAAGGAUUGAGUGACAUCUAAAAUCUCGCAUUCCUUGCAUCUAUCCCUACUUGAUGAUUAAGUCUGCAGACAGAGUAUUUUUCCUGAGAUAAGUGAUGAUUUCUGCAGGCCAACUAGCAAAGCGACAUAUAUCCUGAAUUCCUGAUAAACUCUUAACCGUUGAAAUGGCAUGGAGAUGAGGUUUCUUUCCACAUUCAUGAAGCAAGCAGACGAUAAGUUGGAACUGAACUGAAACGAAAUGCUUAUGGAAAGUUUUACUGGUAUUCAGCACGAGAACUCACAAGUCACAGGUGACAGGACGCGCUUCUGAAGAAAAGUCACCGUGCCUUUCUCCCUUUAGCCACCUUCACUAGUUAAUGCAGAUCACAAGAUUCACAGCUGCAGCACAGAAGGAAGACUCCGUGAGUAAAGCAAAUGAUAACAAUAUUUGACUACACUAGCAUAAAAUGAAAAAUCCAAUUAGUUGCACUGAUUUCCCGUCUAUCCUGUGGCACCAUUCAUACUUCAGCAUCACAAUUCAUAAGACAAGAUCUCAAAGGUUGCAACUUGCAAGAAAAUAACAAGUGUCAUGCUUGGCCCCACCCAUACAUGCCUAUAUAAGCCAAGUCACGCAUGCUUAAACAACACAGAAGGUCGGCCUGAGCAAACAUUCCAUACACUGAGAAUGACCGAGCCUCUGCACACAAGCAGCAAUGGAGGCGCUGAAAGGGGUCCAAACGCUGCAUUUGAAUCGGAGAAGACGCUGCAAACAACAACAAGGUUGCAGAGAUUUGAUUCACUGCACAUGGAAGCUGGAAAGAUUCCAGGUGGCCAAAGCCAUACAGCCAAGGUUUGUUCUUCAAACAGACAAUUGAAUUCCUAUAACAGUAUACACUUUUUCAUGAACUUCAACUUAAUAAGAAUACUCCCAGAACUUCACAAAAUGGAGGAAGAAUAUUUUGAAAAGAAAUGUUCUGCAGCAACUAAUAUACUAUCUUCUUUAUCAUCUUAAGUUUUGCAUGACUAGUGUAGCAAGAAGAAGAGAUCUUCAUGUGAGCCGAAUGCAAUCUGAUUUGAGAAUAUGCUUGAUGCUGAAACACAGGUUGGAUGGGCGACCACACUACACUUGGCCUUCCAGAGCAUAGGCGUGGUUUAUGGGGACAUGGGGACUUCUCCCCUCUAUGUGUUCUCCAGCACCUUUACCAACGGGAUCAAGGACACCAAUGACAUCCUUGGUGUUAUGUCUCUGAUUAUCUACACUGUGGUUCUCCUCCCAUUAAUAAAAUACUGCUUCAUUGUUUUAAGAGCAAAUGACAAUGGCGAUGGUGAGUGAACAUCUUUCAUUCAUCUUCAGAACACAUGUAUAUGGCCACAGAGAAGUCCUUCGAACAACUAAAGAAUUAUGCUUUUAUUGCAAGCAGAGUUUCUGCAAGAUAAAAACUCAAAAGCAACUUUACCAAGAAAAGAAUGAUCAAUGGGGCAAACAUAAAGAAAUAUAAAAAAACACUCCAACCACAGUGUUUAAAUGAAUUCCCUGAAUAGAAUUAUGGCUUAGAAACCAUAUGCAUGCAACGAUUUAUUUCAUCAUAAUUUCACAUUUCUUAUCAAUUUUUAAUCUUGCAGGUGGAACAUUUGCACUUUAUUCCUUGAUAUCUCGGUAUGCUAGGAUUAGCUUGAUACCCAAUCAGCAGGCAGAAGAUGCAAUGGUCUCACACUACAAGUUAGAGUCCCCCUCAAAUCGCGUCAAGCGGGCUCAUUGGAUUAAGGAAAAGAUGGAAAACAGUCCAAAUUUUAAGAUCAUACUUUUCCUAGUAACAAUUCUGGCAACAUCUAUGGUGAUUGGUGACGGCGUACUAACUCCAUGUAUUUCAGGUGAGUUUUCUUUCACUUUCUGGACUCAUUGCUGAUGAUUAAAUGGCUAUAAUGUAAAGUUGCAUGGAAGGGAUGAUUGAAGCAGACAUGGGUUAUUAAAAACACGAUAUCUCCCUUCUGAACUGCAUGAACACAUGCUGAAGUGUUUCAAAGUAACUCAUGCAUUUUUUUUCUUUUUGGUAAUAUUAUAGUGCUUAGCGCUGUUGGGGGGAUCAAGGAAUCAGCAAAGUCCCUGACUCAAGGUAAACCAAUCAUUAUGUGCUUCUCACUGUAUUUCAGAGAGAGACUUGAAAAGCCAAGUACUGCUCAGGAUGUAUUUGAUUUGACCUUUUUGGCCCUAUCAACAGGACAAAUUGCUGGCAUCGCAAUUGCUAUUCUGAUUGUCCUCUUCCUUGUUCAGCGUUUUGGCACGGACAAAGUUGGUUACUCAUUUGGCCCUAUAAUCUUGACAUGGUUUAUCUUUAUUGCUGGUACUGGAGUUUAUAAUCUGUUCAAACAUGAUACUGGUGUUCUAAAAGCAUUCAAUCCCAAAUACAUUGUGGACUAUUUUGAAAGAAAUGGGAAGCAAGGCUGGAUUUCCCUUGGAGGUGUUAUAUUAUGCAUUACAGGUACUACUACUCUCAUGAUCCCCAACAUUAUUACUUUGCAAUAAGCCUCCAAUCUCCAUGUUAUCACCACAAGAUUUUGACAGAUAAGUUUUGACACGUAUACCACAUCUUUGAUGAAACAGGGACAGAAGCAAUGUUUGCUGACCUUGGUCACUUCAAUGUGAGAGCCAUUCAGGUAAGGAAGUACUUUUCCUCUGAAUGCAUGCACACAAAAACUAAUCAACCCAAUAGCAAAACUCCUAGCCUCCUAGGGGUACUAUAAGACAGGGAUUGAGAUCCAUUUGAACUUUGUAACUGUUGUUCUUGAUUUUCAUACUACUAUACUUAAGACAUUUAAAAUAAAUAUUUUUGUUGCGCUGCAGAUUGGCUUUUCUGUAGUUCUCCUUCCUUCAGUACUACUGGCAUACAUUGGACAAGCUGCAUAUCUUCGCAUCUAUCCAGAACACGUUGCAGAUACAUUCUACAAAUCAAUUCCAGGUACAAACAAUAACUAAAGACAGCAAACAAAUGCCAUGAUUUGCACAUUUGAAAUAUUAGAACUAACAAAGAACUCAUUGGCAUUGUUAUCAGACCCAUUAUAUUGGCCAACAUUUGUGGUGGCAGUCGCAGCUGCCAUAAUUGCAAGCCAGGCUAUGAUAUCUGGUGCAUUCGCAAUCAUUGCUCAGUCCCAAAUUCUAGGUUGUUUUCCACGAGUUCGUGUGAUCCACACCUCAACGAAGUUUCAUGGGCAAGUGUACAUUCCAGAGAUCAAUUAUGUAUUGAUGGUUUUAUGUGUAGCUGUUACAGCUAUUUUCCAAACUACAGACAAGAUCGGCAAUGCAUACGGUAAGCCUCAGCUCGAGAAACAAGUAUCCCUUCCUUCUAAGUUCUAACCCAAUAUAAACAUGGAACAAGUGAUUCAAUACUUGAACUCAGAGCAUUUUUACUCUAAGAUAGAGAAUAUUCUUUCUCAAGAACCAUAUGUUUCCUGUUUGGUACAGUUUCUCUUAAUUCCACAAACCCAUCUAAAAUCAUCAAUUAUUUGAGGUAAUUUGAUGUUACUGUGUCUUAAAUAACCAAAAAGAUAUAUACUAUAAUUUCUCUAGACCUGAUAACUGCCCAAAUCUAUCAGGCAAGACUGCAAGCAAAUCGUAACAUUAACAGAAUGGUACUGCUUAAGCUGUGAACUCAGCCUAACAAAUAUUACAGUAUUUAGCAAGAAUCUAGAUUCUAAGUAAGAUUGACGGUGUCGGCAUAAGAUAUAUCAACAAAAUUCUACAGAUUAGUCCCUUUAUCCAGUGACACCAACGAUUUUAUCAAAUGUUCUUUAAAAAGCAAGGAUGGACAUGAUCUGUCAACAUGUUAUGAUAACAUUAUUAAUGUACCAGUUUUAUGAUCAGACAUCUCAUAUCAUCACUAUAUUGUGCAGGUAUUGCUGUUGUCUUUGUGAUGUUUAUAACAACACUACUAGUCACUCUAGUGAUGGUCAUGAUAUGGAAGACAAGUCUUUUGUGGAUUGCACUCUUUCCAGUAAUAUUUGGUGGUGCAGAGCUCAUAUACUUAUCUUCAGCAUUCUACAAGUUUACUCAAGGUGGAUACUUGCCACUAGUUUUUUCAGCCAUUUUGAUGUUUAUAAUGGCCACAUGGCAUUAUGUUCACGUUCAUCGGUACAAAUAUGAGCUCCGGAACAAAGUAUCAAACAAUUAUGUGGCAGAGUUGGCAGUAAAGCAAAAUCUUGCCAGGCUGCCAGGAAUAGGUUUUCUAUACUCUGAACUUGUGCAAGGCAUCCCACCCAUACUUCCUCAUUUGGUGGAAAAAGUACCUUCCAUUCAUUCAGUACUUGUGAUUAUCUCCAUAAAGUACUUACCGAUCAGCAAGAUAGAAACAAAGGAACGGUUUCUCUUCCGAUAUGUGGAGCCAAAAGAAUACAGGGUAUUCCGAUGUGUGGUGCGCUAUGGAUACAAUGAUAAAGUAGAAGAUCCAGCAGAAUUUGAGAGCUUAGUUAUUGAAAACUUGAAGCAAUUCAUCCACGAGGAAUCCCUCUACAGCCAAAGUAGUCAUUCCCUUGAAGGAGAAUCAAUAAAAGAAAUAGGAGGUGUAACGGAUCCUACCUCUGAAGUUCAAGAUGCAAUGUCAUCCAGAAACAAUUCAGACCAACACACGACGGAACCAAGAAAUGGAUGCAUGGAUGAGAUACAGUCAAUUCACAAAGAGAUGGGGAAUGGUGUAGUCCAUCUGCUGGGAGAAACUAAUGUGGUGGCAGAACCAAACGCCGAUUUCCUUAAGAAAAUAAUAGUUGAUUAUGUCUACAAUUUCAUUAGGAAGAACUUCAGGCAACCAGAGAAGAUCACAUGUGUUCCCCAUAAUAGACUGUUGCGGGUAGGAAUGACGUACGAGAUCUAGACUGAUGGUGAUGUUCUUGGAAAUCUGAGUAAGUACUCAGUAACUAAUUAUCGCAUAGAAGAUGUUGUUCUCAGUGCUGAGUGAGGAAAUGCACAAGCAAAAAAAGGAGGGGAUGAGAAAUCAGCAUUCCUAAUCCUGACCAUACCACAGAACAUGCAUGGAGAUUCGUAUGACGUUUUCUUUUGGAGAAUCAGAACUUCAAUAUGUAACAUAGAUUGUAUAGUAGUAUAGCAUAUACACUAAUACACAGGAAGAAUAACUUGUUAUUUUGAUCAAUAUGAAACGUCCCUAGAGAUUGAUAGUAAUCUAGCAUAUUUAUUGUACUGUAAGAGUGUUGGUACUUGAAAAGUUGAAAUAAUCAAAAAGGUUGAAGGACCAGCAUAUAUCAUACUUCUUCCGUUUCACAAUGUAAGUCAUUCUAGCAUUUCCCACAUUCAUAUUGAUGUUAAUGAAUGCUAUCUAGAUUAACAUCAAUAUGAAUGUGAGAACGGAGGGAGUAUUUAUCUUGUGUGCGAUUCUGAAAGGAAAGGCAACUGUGCAUGAUUGACUCCAGGUUCGGUAUCAGUAUACCAAAGCUCAAAUCGAUGCACAGGAGCAAUUCCAUGGUGCCAAUCGAACGCGAGUUCGGGACAGGUGAGGAAACUAGCAAGAAGUUGGCGCAGAGGCAUUCCAUCGAACAGUUCAGAGGCAUGUGAUGAGAGAAGCAAAAUCCACGGGACAUCGAGAGAUCGUACCUAUGCAUUCCGCCCAGGAACCCCAAUCCACAUGCUCCAGCAUCCCAUCUCCGCUACGACUUGCCAAGCCACCAAUCCGCGUCUCCAUUCCUGCGAUUCCGACAUAAUUUCCAGCGAGAUCAAACAAGGAGGAGGAGGAGGAGGAGGAGGAGAUCGACGAACGGGCGCGGCGAGAAGAGCGUAUACCACCGAUUCGCGGCGAAGGUCGCGCCGUCCAGGAGCCGCCAGGGAAUCGGAGGGGUCGCCGCCGGCGCGGCAAGCCUCCGCCGCCGCGCGCACCGCCGUUGCUGGCCUCCGCCGCGAGAACAAAUGGCGAAACCGAUGCUGAGUUGGGCCGGAACGGCAUUCCAGGCUGCGUGCGGGGAAUGGGCCGGAACGGGAUCUCGAGUUACUACGUGCGGCCCAUAUUGGUUGGGGGCGAACAGGAUUCUGACUUGUGGCCCAUAAUAAUUGGGCCGGAAGGGGAUUUCGAUUACUUGCGGCCCAAUAACGGGAUUGGCUGAGCCGGGAUGGCCCAAGAAUGGGAAUGUGUUGGGUUGGAAAGGAACAGGAUUCUACCUUGUGGGGCUUGAUACGAAUGAAUUUUAGAAUAAGUCUAUUUUACCUCUCUCAUCGCUUACUCAUGAUUGAAUUGUGUUCCUCAACCGUAAAACCAGGUGUAACGCAUCCCUCAUCUUUGAAAACUGAUGCAAAUAGACUCCUUCGACGGUUUGGGAAACGGUAUUUUGCUAAUGUGGUAGAUUGACUGUGGUUGACUCGCUGUCAGCGACUCCUCUCUUCCCCCUCCUCUCUCUCUCUCUCUCUCUCUCUCUCCCUCUCUCUCCUCUCUUUUCCAUCUCUGUUUUAUUUUGGAGCACACACAAACUUCGACUCGCAAGACGCACAUUGCCGAUUCGAUUUCAGAAUUCACAAGCUGUUUUGAUCUUUCUGCAAUCUGCUUAAAUAGACGGAGGCUAACGAUAGGUCUCUAAUCUCACGAAAUUUCAGUUAAAAACGCACUCUAUGUAAACGUAACCAUGAGGAUCAGGACUUCAAACUACACCACUGCACCUCAUGUGGCUCAACAAAUCAUCACGCCGGUAUGAUUGAAGUAUCUUUCAACACAAGACUACACGAGUAACGUGCAUGAACACUGAAUAUAAUAGUUUGGGGUUGUGAGCUUAAAAAUGAUUGCUUCAGUCAGGAAAAACCCUGGCUUUGUAAGGGAAUAUAAAAGAAAGAUUAUGGCAGGAAACAGCAAAGGUUUCCCAGAAGGAAACAUGUACAGCUACUCGGAGCAACACCAAUUGGAAUCAAGCUGGAAUUGAUCAUUUCGAUCAACUGAACCGACAGCGUCUGUUUGCGGCAAGCAAGUCAGAUUCCACAACUAGCUUACAACUCCAUCGUUUGCUUUUCAGCUUAUCAGCUGCAGCUAAGAUUUAAAUUACAGUAAUCUUAUAGUUGCUUUUCGGUAUUAUGACUGCUAAGAUUAUAGGCAAAACGAUGUGGCUGUCAAUCUGCUCGGAAGGCAUAGACUUAAUUUUCAGCAGAUCGACAAAUCAUAGCUGCUCGAUCGCAUGCUCCACACAUCUGAUGAUGAUCAACAAGGGAUUAAGCAGGCAAGCAGCUGACAAAAUGCUAAACGAAUGACUCGAGAGUUUGUUUUUCCGCGUGGAAUUAAUUAGGUCACACGAUGCUAAUGUUCUUAUCAUGCAAGAAGUAUGUAGAUAAGCUGGUACAUACAGCUGGCCAGGUUGUUCAUAUAUGUUAUUGUUAGAGCUAAGCUGUUCAUCAUUGCCCAGCUAUUGUAAUACUAGGAGCAAGGUCAAUAGUAUAGCCAGCAGUUGGUUCCAAUUACAUCCAUGUCAUUUUACAGUUAAUAAUAGAGCCAACCUAUACAAUAGAAUGGCUAUACUAUGCUAAUUACAGUUUCAUAAUCCGGGAAUUAAUUAAGCAUGCACAUACUUGCGUAUGAUCAAGAGUGAACUCAGUCUCUGUAGGUAGUUGUAUUGUCGCCUGAAAAUAAGUACCAGUGCCACGCCAUGGCGUGAAUCUGGCGCAUGGGAUCGGAAGGGCUGAAGUGGUGGUGAUGAGGCCCACAAUACGUGUUUUUAAUCCGCGAGAUCGACUGCACGCGAGCUCUGCAGAUAUGUCGCUCUCUUUAUUCUCUCUCCUUCGUUUUCUCUUCUCCACGUAAGAAUAGCAUGACGUGGAAAUUUUUGCAGCCUGCUGUGUCAGCUUAUUGUACCACCUCUAAGUAGUACUGAUCAUGCUGCUGUCCAACAAACAAACGACAGUACUGUGCUGUCAGGUGGCCCCAAUAAUCCACUGCUUUCGCUAAAGUGCAAAGCAGAAAAUCCAUUAGCUAAUCUAAUAAGUAAUAAAGCUAAAAACAGUAUGAAUAAUUGGAUACAUCAAGGCAUACCGCCAAAAAAAGCCAAUCAAACUGAGUAGUACCUGCAGCUGCAUGCAUGUUUCUGAUUUCUGAACAUGUUCAGUAUCAUUCAGAAAAUGGAUAUGCUAUCAUCUGCGUUCAGAGAUAAUGCUACCUGCUACAUAGUUGGGACUUGGGAGUUAAUUAAAUAGUAUCAUUAAUUCGUCGUUUAAAUAAAUUGUUCUGCACCGACGAUGCACAUCGAUUGGUUAAUUAUCAUGCAUGCAUAGUCUUGUUGCUGGCAAUAGGUUGAUCACUGUAUUCGCUACCCACCAACCAAACACACGGAUACAAUGAGAUGGAGCCAUCAAGAAUCAGACAGAUAUUCGUUUAUCUACCGUUUAUACUAAUUAGUCCAUUAAGUUGGCGUCUUUAGCUUGAUGCUUUUAAUUAUCUGCAUUUUUGCCACCCAAAAGGGAGCAAGAACUUGUUGUCUCUUCUUCUAUUAUCCCCAUAAUUUGUCAGAUAUAUAGAUGAGUGUACAACCCUAUGCAGAGCAGUAUUCGAUUGAUUUCAAGAAGAAGAAUAUAUAUAUUAAUUACUGCACAUUACAUAUAUUAAUUAGACGAGAGAGAUGACAUAAUAUUUUUCAUUACAAAUUACAAAUAAGCUCAAAAUACACAAAGAUUUGCACAAGAUUUACAUCUGUCCCUGCAGCAACCAAAACCAUGGGGACUCCCUUCAGAUCUUCGCAUUACGUACGCACCAUGUAAUUCAAGCUCCGUAUACAUGACUCGUAUGUGUACAUGAUCGAUGGCGCCAUGGCGGCGAGGCGAUGGGCCACCGCGUGAUCGAGCUCGCGCGCGGCCUCGCCGGCGUUCGUGCUCUGGGCGCGCGUGGCGCGACGCGGCGCGGCGCGGCGUGGACGGGACGAACGUUCGACCGAUCACGGGGCGGAUUCCGUCAUGUAGGGGAGCAGCGCGACGUGGUUCUGGCGGCGCAGCUGCUCGUAGAAGCGCCUGAUGAACUCCUCCGCCUCGUCGUCCACGGCCUCGCCGCCGCCGCCGCCGUCGGCGUGGCCGUAGUCGCCGUCCUCCUCCUCCUCCGACGAGUAGUUGGAGACCCGCACGGAGUAGCCGCCGGUGGUGCCCAGCAGCGGCGAGAGCCCCGGCGUGCUGCACUCGUCCCCCGGUGCGAGCAGCUCAUCCCGCACCAUGAACCCCGGCGAGGACGGCGCCGGGGAGGACGCCGCCGCCGCGGCGUAUCCAUAGUACUCGAUCCUCUGCAACGCCGCUGCCGCCGUCGCGCUCGCGCCGGCGUCGACGACGUCGUCCUCCGCGCUGAGGCAAGGGAAGUAGGCGAGCCGCCGCCUCGACGCCGCACCUCCAUGCACGACGUCGGGGCUGUUGCUGCACGAGAACUCGUACUCCCGCCGCCGGCGCAGCGCGCCGCCGCCGCCGCCGCCGUGGUGGUGGGAGAGGAGGCUGGCCACCGAGCGCGCGACGGCGCGGUUCCGGCGCUUGAGCCGCAUGGCGAGCUGCAUGCCGAGCAGCAGCCUCCGCUUGGAGAUCACCCCUUUCCUCACCAUGAAGAACACCGCCCGCAGGUAUCCCCACAUCCUCCUCGCCGCCGACUCCACCUCCAUUGCCAAGAAAAGCUUCCCAAGAAUCAAGAUCAAAUCAGGAUGCUGUUUUUUUCCGCGAACGCGCAAAAAGAAUUACACGUUAAUAUAUUAGAAGAUAAGAGUUAUAGUUACACAACGCAAUCAGCCAGGCCGGCUUAUGUCAGGGGAAGGGGAAGGGAGAAAAACAAAUCAGGAUGUUGUUGCAUGGAUCGAUCGAAUGAUCAUUCGAUGGAUUGCAAGAAAUGGCAUUUGCAUUGGGUUGAUUGGUGGUGAGGUGGUGUAUAUAUACUCCGUAUAUAGGAGUAGGGAUUUAAACGAUGAAUAGAGCACGCAAGGGGGAGAGGGCAAAAGCUGUCAGAAAAAAUGAAAUUUUUUUCUUAACCAGGAAGGCAGCAGAAGGAGGGGGAGCGUGGACAUUUUGGCGAUGCCUUUUCCGGUAGGUGGCGCCUCCGCUUCAAACUCCUUGUUGCCUUUAAUCAGCAAAAGCAUGCAAAGGAAUUCGUCAAGUUGUUUGAAUUCUGCAAAGCAAAUAUUCGAAUUAGUGCUCAGUUUGGAUAGACAAUGGACUAAUAAUGUAAGUACUCCCUCCAUUUUAUAUUAUAAGUCGUUUGACUUUUUUUCCUAGUCAAACUUAAUUAAGUUUGAUCAAGUUUAUAGUAAAAUUUAGCAGUAUCUAAUAAAUCAAAUUAGUUUUAUUAAAUCUAAUAUUUAGUAUAUUUCAAUAAUAUGUUUAUUUUGUGUUAAAAAUACUACUAUAUUUUUCUAUAAACUUAGUCAAACUCAGACAAGUUUGACUAGAAAAAAAGUCAAACAACUUAUCAUAUGAAACGGAGGGGUAUAUAUUUAGGCCUCUUAUAGGUUGAGCUACGACUGAUAAGCCAUAGGAAAAAGAAAAAACAAAGCAAAAAAAAAUAUUUAUGGGUAAGUUUAUAUAUCUAUUGUUAGCAGUUUAAAAGUUAUGGCUAGAAAAUAGACUUCCAGAAAAAUUUGGUUCUUGCCAGGUAAAAUUCGAAUUUUUGUUACAGCUGAUAAGCUAACAAACAGAUAAGAGUUGUAAUUACUGCAUGGGCAAUUUUUUCUAUGUAGAGUACUGUUUAUCAGUUAUUAGCAGAAAAUUCAUUAGUGGUCACUGGUCACUUAGUCAGUACAGGAUGUAACAUAUAUAUACAGAUUCGUAAUAUUAAAAUAUGUCACACCUUAUUAUAGAUUCGUUUUUUAUGGAUGGGGGAGUACUCGGAAGUGAACUGUGACUGAAUUGGUAGGUUUUCAAAAUUCAGAUAAGCAAAUCGCUCCUUUUCUCGACGGCAACACAGUAGCUAGUAAGACCAUGGCAAUAGCAGCAAUGUUGUCCACGGCAGCCACGUGUCGCCGGUGUCUUCUUUCCUUAACCCCGGAUCAGCCUCAAAAGCGGUAGCCAUGAGCCAUCACCUCGCAUUCUCAUCACACAUUUCGCCUCAGAACGUUGCCACAUGAUCAUCAGCGGCGUCACUUUCAGAGACCACAGGAAAAAGCAGAAGAGCAUAUUAUAUCGAAAGGAAAAAUAAUGCGAAGAAACGAUCAGAAUCAGUGGACGAUUGAUUGAUUUCUAAUUUCUUCUCACGACAUUGAGCAGAGCCACCAAUUCAGGGGAUGCUCACACUCGUGACCUUGACUUGGAACCAAAGCUAGGAUCUUUUUUACUUCUUAGCCGCUUAGUAGUAGCUAGGAAUCAGGAUUAAAUUAAGGUAAAUUGUCUUACUCUGAUAGUCUGAACUAGUGUGUUACAGCUUAAUAACACAAAGUUUGAAGGAAAAACAGGCAGCAGCUUGGGCUGUCCCACUGCAAAAGUCGGUCCAGUUAGCUUCGUGGAUCGAUCGAAGUAUGUGAUACUUCACCUGUUCUAUGCGAACGGGAGAAGAAUUUCUGCAGCUGUCUGCUUGAUCAGUACUGUACAAGGCGUCAAGGCUCAAGAAUGGAAUUUUUUUUUCUCUGUACUACUACCAUGCUGUGAACGAGUAACCCUGUUUCUACGUAGCAUUAGCAUCUGCAUUUCAGCAUACAUGUUUUAUCUGAAUACUAUCAGUGCUGAGUUGCAUCUGAAAUUCUGAAGGUGCUCCAUUUGAUUUCUUACAGCUUUCAGACAGUAGCACAGCUGUUAUUACUGAUGAGAGUUUCAGGCUCUGCUUGAAUGUUCAGUUUCCACGGAUUGUCGAUCGUGUGCUUAUCCGAGCUUGACACCUAUAGAUUAGCAUGAACAAACCAUCAAUCAUAACGCCACUUCUCUGCAAACUGCUCGAUCUCAUCUUCAAUCUGUCCUGCAAAGCGAACAAAAAGGGUUCAGAGAAUUAUCUGAAAUAAAGUUCAGAAAAGUGCAGUGCCGAAAGAACAUCGCACAACACAAGCAAACAUUAUUACCAGGGCUAUUGUGCUUGCCUUUUGCUCCCCUUUUCAACAUCUACUUUUUUUUUUUCUGUUAGUGCCUAACAUGAAUAUAAUGGUGGAUUCAUGGUUUUGGGUUGAUUAAUCUGUUGUGCUAAGAAUGCACAACUCUGUCUUGUCUAACAACCGAUAAUAUAAUAGGAGUGUAGCUGCUUUGUCAAUCUGCUUAAUCCUCUUUUUGUGCAAGUUGUACACUCGAUCUUUUCUCUGAACUGAUCUGUCGAGAAAAGCUAUAGCACUUGUUCCUUUACUAGCACUAGUUCAUUACCACUCACUUCUUCCACUAAGAAGGCAGGUUGUUUGCAUCAUCUCCUUCAUCUCCAUGUAUAUAAUUUGUAAGAUCAAGACUCAAAAUGGAUGUAUUCUCAAAAAAAGACUCAAAAUGGACACUGGUUCAGCGAAUGUCGCUUCAAAGUUGAAAUAGUGAAUCCUUUAGGCCCUUGUCUAGAUGGGCUGAAAUCGCAACCAAUAUGCAGUACAUAAAAGGGCCACAAUCUAGUUCAAUGCAUGUACAUUGGCCCAUCCAAUUAUCCAAACUAGUCUAAAAAAAUCUUGCUGGUGGUAGUCACCCCACCUAUUCUAGUUGUAGUUUUUACAUAUUACCUCUUAAAUUUCAUAAUAUUACAUAACAACUAGUUAUAAAUGGAUAACCACACAUAAAAUUAAAUUGAUAUGAGUAUUCCUUUUAGAAAAAGGUGGGUAAUAUAUUAUCAAAAAAUAAGCUCUUUUAGCAUUUAUUUUAGGUAAUAUUAUAAUAGUAUAUUUUUUUUCCUUUUAUCCGUAGAGCAUUUAGCUACUCCCUCCAUCCCAUUUUAAACACAACCAUGAGUUUCUGUGUCCGUCUUAUUUACCGUCUUAUUUAAAUUUUAUUAUGAUUAGUAUUUUUAUUGUUAUUAGAUGAUAAAAAAUAAAUAGUACUUUAUGAAAAAAAUUAAACAAGACGGACGAUCUAAAUUGGACAUGAAAACUUUUGGUUACGCUUAAAAUGGGAUGAGCAGUUCCUAAAAAAGCCUACAUCCAUGUCUGGCAGUAAGGAUAAGCCCAACUGUCCUACAAUACAGCGCCUACGACUGUCCGAGAAAAUAGCGUAUUACUUUUUAGAAUAAUCUGUUAAAUCUGCCAAAUUUUUUUCAAUUGCGCUAUUUCAUCCAAAAAAUACAAAUAUGCCACUUUUGUUGCUAAAUUUGACUAGUGAUGUCGAAUCAAUAUGUCUGGAUUAUACAUUUCUAUACAACUUUAAAAUGAUGGUGACUUGGUGAGUCAUUAAUCUAUCACCACCCCCGCCACCAACAAUCUUUUGAAAUGAAGAAAUAAUACAUGAGACUAGAGCGCCUACAUGUCAACCACCCUCGCUACCAAUGAUAAGAAAAAAUAAUAGUGGUAAGAGGAUCCACAUAUCAAUAAAAAAUAAUAUAGAGACUAAGAGAUGAUGUAUCCAAAAAAUAAUGCGAAAAACAUGUAAUCUAGUGGUUGCAUUGGUUACAGUAAUAUGAGUAGCACAUAAGGUUCUGAGUUCAAAUAUUUAUAUGAGCGAAUUCCAGAUUAGGUUGUUUGAGAAGUUAAAUUCCCAAUUAAAAUAUUGUAUAUAUCCGGUUGGAUGUAAAGACCAGAUAAAGGUUGUUUGAGAGGCUAAAUUUACAAUUAAAAGGUUACAUAUAUCCGGUUGAAUGUAGAUGCCAGGUAAAGAAUGUCCAUGAUAGCUGUCAAACUCGUUCAUUUUUUAUGUGUAUAUUAAGAAAUUUUUUCAGGUUUUAAUUUUUUUUAGAGAUCAAACUUGCUAAUUCCAUUAACAAAAACACCGACGAUAGCGGUAAAUUUACAAGGUAAACACCAACGGUAGCGGUAAAUAUGCCACACUAUAUCAUUUCGGCAAUUAGGACCAGAUCCGACACGGAUCCCAAUCAUAUGCAGUACUGAAUAUAUAGAGAGGGGCUAUUUGAACAGUAAUAACAAGUUUAAUAGUGUUGUCGAUUGUUUACUCCAAAAAUAUUUCACAUAAGCAAAACGGCAUAAAAAAACUGAUAAGUACAAUAGCUGGCUGCUAGUGCUAUCUCUGCACAAGUACAGAGACUAAACGAGCUACACCAUCAUUCAGCUUGUCGCCGUCCCAUUGGUCAACACCACUCAGGCCCCCCGAGCCAGUUUUGGACCCCUUAACUUGCGUUGGGGUUUACGCUGCAGCCGGCGAUAAAUCAAGCGUCCGCUUUUCUCUUUCAUUGCAUUCUCUCUUUCAACUCAACAUAAAUAUAUUUUUGUAACUCUUAUAGCCUGCUGAAAUAAGACUAUUGUACCUGCUAAUUUGAGUUUACGCGAACAGUGGUGUUCGUCAGUACUGGUGAAACAGUGCUGGAUUUACCGUUUUGAAAUGCUGUAGCGAUUUACCUUAGCCAUCGUUGUUCUAGCAUCCGAUCUAGUCCGUCCAUUUUAAAUCAACGGUUGAUAGGAGGGGCUAAUGCCCACAACUAUAGGCUUUGCAAUUCUGCAUUGGCACAGUCUAAUAUUUAACUCCCAAAAAUUCUAAAUUGGGACUAUCAAAAUAAAAAUUGGGCUCAUCAACCAGUUAAUUCCCUCCUCCAAGAGAAACCCAACAAUUAAAUUCCAGUAAUUUGUUGGUUUGCCACAUAAGCAUGGGACCACUUGGAAGUUGAUCGGCCUCGAGAUGCGCUCGUAGCGCAGUGGCAGGGAUCGCUGGCAUGCACCCCCGUCGGUCCGGAUUCGACCCUUGUCGAGCACGCUCACUAGAAAAAAUAUUUACCUCAUCCUUCUUAAAACUAUUGUCCAUUGACACCAAGUCAUUUAUUUGUGUCCAACCUUUUUAGUUGAUCGGCCUCUUCCCCCCUCCAUGUACGCACACCCGAUCCUCCUCUCCCCUGCCUGCAGGUGGAGCCACCUCACAGUUCGUCGCGAUCGCCUCCAGCCAACCAGUGAUCGGACUGCUGUUCUUAUCUUAAUCUGUUGAAAAACGAAGCACUGAGAGUAUACCGUAGCCAUUCGUGUUAUCAAGGAGGUAAUCCCCUAGCCAAUGUCAGUGAUCCGUUGAGCCCUAGCCAAACGACAAGCUAUUGAUCAUGAACGACAGCUCUUCUGCCGCAAAAAAAAAAAAACCUGAUAACUGAUAAAUGCAUGCAGAUUUAUUCCAAUAGCAAUCAGUAGCAAUUUAGCAUCGUUUCAGCAGCAUUUCAGAACAGCUGCAGCAAUCAACAUUUUAGAACAAGUGCAGCAAUCAGCAUUCAGCAGCACCAGUACAUACACCACAGCACAUACCCACGAAAAAACAUCAGCAUAUACUUCCUGUUAAUAUUUACUCUUAUACUUCCUGCAAAUAUUUUCAGUGUAUACCCCUAUAGCAAGUACCAAAAAAAACAGCAUGCACAGAUGAUUUCAGUGUAUACCAACCGACCAAGCCAUGGUAGUGCCUGACCUCCCAAACCAGGGAGGCUGGCUGGUCCCCUCUGUCCUCUGUCGCCGCCUGAAUGUUGGAGGACGGCGGUUGAGCGGGAUGAUGGGGAGGCGCCAAGCCACAGAGACCAUGCUGUUGCCCCCGUUCCCAAUUACCUCUCAUUUUCCGCGCACGCUUUUAAAUUGCUAAAUGGUGUGUUUUUUGCAAAAUAUUUUUAUAUAAAAAUUAUUUAAAAAAUCAUAUUGAUUCAUUUUUAAAAAAAUAAUUAGCUAAUACUUAAAUAAUUACGUGCUAAGAGCAUCACCAACAGUCUAACAAUAAUCUAUCCCUAAAAUUUAAUUUUUGAGUUUCCUAAACUGAAAAUAGGUGGUGAAAAACCCCUUCUUCCAAGAGAUAGCCUAAAUUCAAUCUCAAAAACUAAAAGUGGGCCCUUCUGUUAAACUACCAACAGAAAUUCUAGUUUUUUUCCUUUCCUGUGCACAGAAGGAGAUCGCCCCGAUACGGGAAGGAGAGGAGAAACGUGGAAGGAGGGGAGAAACGCGUGGAAGAAGGGGGAUUGGGAGUCGUUCUCUCGCCCUCAAAUACACGUACCGAGAAAAUUGGAGAUGUGAACUCCAAAACGUCCAGAGCUCUUUUGGGAAUAUGUUGGACCAUUUUUUUUAACCAAAAUCCCCCCAAAAAAAAGGAUUGGGGAUGGAAUAGAUAGACUGAGCAUCACCAACAGUCUACCUAUAUGAUUUCUAAAACUAAUUUUGAGGGAUUUUAGUCCAAGAAUCAGCUCCAACAUAUCCUCUACUCUUUUACCCAAGUUUUGGAGUUCCCUUCCCCCGGUUCCUCGCUCUGUUUAUAUGCGGGCGCGAAAGUCGCUCCCAAUCACGCAAUCCCGGCUCUCUUCUUUGUUCCCGCGCGUGGGAGAUAGCGAUCUUUCUGUGCGUGAAAGAAAAAAACGGAAUUUUCUCUUGGCAGUUUAAUAUAAGGGCCCACUUUUAAGUUUCGGGGAUUGAAUUUAGGCUAUCUGUUGGAGAGAGGGGUUUUUUCACUUCCUAUUUUCAGUUUAGAAAACCAAAAACAAAAUUUUAAGAGAAAAUUAUAGAUAAUCUGUUGGUGAUGCUUUAAUGGACCGCUCCAUUUUUCGUGCGUGGGAUAUGGAUUCCAACCCAGGUUGCCGAACACAGCUGUACAGAGCGAGAAACCAGGAUUUGGGAAUCAUAACUAUUGGGCCUGAGAAUUGGGAGACUGUUGGAUUAGAUUUCUCAAAAAAAAAAAUCCCCUAAUAUUAGGAUUGGGAUUCAUUUAGCAAAUCUGUUGGGCAUGCUAGAGGAAUAAGCAACUGUUUGAUCUGUAGUUAGGCACUUUUUUUUUUUUGAGAUCGAUGUGUACUAGGCAGCAACCAUGUUUGAUUAGCCAGCACGCGAUUCUUGUGUUAAUAGUUGCUACUGUAGUGUACUAAUAUCAAUACUGUACAAUUCACUGCGUUUGGUUGGUGAUGGUGUGAGAACCCAUUAGCCUUUUUUAUCCUGGCGCGAAAGGCAAUGUAGUUUACCAGUUACAUUGACCUGGACAGUACUCUAAAGCUCUAAAUCUCUAAGUUCAAAUAUUCACAGUAGCAAAUUUUAGAUUGGGUUGUUUGAUGGAUUAAAUGGAGAAAAUUUCAAAUUGAGUUAUUUGAUGGGGGUAAAUUCUCAAUCUAAAAUGAUUUUAUAUAUCCGAUUGAAUGUAAAGAUUGUGAAAAAAAAUACCUAUCUAAGAGAAACAAAAAAAAUCAGCCUCCUUAUCCAUUGGCCCACUUUUGGACAUGGACAAGUGUUUGUAUAUGCCUGGAUGAAACUGGAAAUCAAACCACCACAACCACACGUACUCACUCGCAUGGCUGCAGCCAUUGCCGUCGUCUACCUCUCCCUACUGCUGCUGCUGCUGCAUGGCGCGGCGCCGGCAGUUCUUGGCUACACGCGAGGGGAUUUCCCGGAGGAUUUCGUCUUCGGAUCCGCCACCUCGUCGUACCAGGUAGUAGCAAGUAGCAACUCACGCAGCUUCGGUUGGAGCGAGAUCUUCUUGGCUAUCAGCUGGUUCCUGUUUUCAUUUGAGAAUUUCUACUGGGCUCUAUGAAAAUUCUGAUUGUUUUGGGUGGUGAAAUUUUUGUCUGUCUGGUAGUAUGAGGGUGGUUUUGAUGAGGAUGGUAGGAGCCCAAGCAACUGGGACAUCUUCACUCAUCAAGGUAAUUAACUGACAAGGCUGGGAUUCUGCCCUUGUUUUUUUUUUUUGACAAAUACUCCCUCCGUUUCUAAAUAUUUGGCACCGUUAAAUUUUUAAGCACAUGUUUGAUCGUUCGUCUUAUUCAAAAACUUUUGUGAAAUAUGUAAAACUAUAUGUAUACAUAAAAAUAUAUUUAACAAUGAUAAAAAAUAAUUAAUAAUUACUUAAAUUUUUUUAAUAAGACGAACGGUUAAAUAUGUUUAAAAAAGUCAACGGCGACAAAUAUUUAAAAACGGAUGGAGUAUAUGUUAUUGUGUGACAAAUAUCUAAAAAUGAUGUUCUUGUUUGUGAUAACAGGGAAAAUGCCGGGCAGAAGCACAGCUGAUGUCGCCGCCGACGGGUACCACAAGUACAAAGUAUAGCUCAAUUUUCUCUGGAUGUAAAUCCUCUUAUCAAUUUAUCUGCUAUAUUGUACCUGAAGAUUUGUGGCUUCUGUCUGAUCUGUCCUCAACUCAAUGUCUGGAAGGAAAAAUAUUCAGAUGUCAUGGCCAAGUACUUUGAUGUUCUGAAAUGAAAGCUCUAACCUGUUUUAAGUUGUUUUGACAUGAUUUAUUAUGAUGGUUCAGGAUGAUUUGAAGCUGAUGGUUGACACCAACCUAGAGGCUUAUAGAUUAUCCAUCUCCUGGUCGAGGAUUAUUCCAAGUAUGAGCAUUUCAGAAGAUUUUUUAUUGUUGUACUUGUAUGCAAGAAUUUUCAACAUUAUUUCUAAUUUCUUGUUUUUGAAACUAACGUUUUUCAGAUGGGAGGGGUGAUGUCAAUCCAAAAGGGCUACAAUACUACAAUGACAUCAUAGAUGGGCUAGUGAAAAAUGGUAUGCCUAUUUGCAUUAACCUAUGAAGUUUUGGUGUAUUCCCUCUCUGGUACCAUAAUUCUUAAUGUUUUGGACAAUGACAUAGUCUCCAAAUAUAUGUUUGACUAUGUUUUUUUUAUUAUAAUACUGAAAAAAAUGCCUGUGCGUUGCAAUGGGUAAAGACGUUUUUUUAGUCUUAUAUUAAGAAAUGAUCAAUAAAUUAAAAUAUUGGGAUCGCUAUGCAUUAUAAUUGAAAAAGUUAAUGAAAAUCUUUCCUGGGUUUUGAGCCGAAAGCCUUCCUUCCUUUUUUUAGCCCUAGUGCAGUCCGCUCCCUCCAUCCGUUUGGCCUGCUUCCCUUCGACCCAGCCACAAGUGGAGCUGUAAGCCCAACUUCCUCCCGAAGUCCCGUACGCGUAAGCCCAACUCUCUCCCGAAGAUAGUCCCUCCCUCCGUUUGGCCUGCUUCCCUUCGACCCAGCCACAAGUGGAGCCGUAAACCCAACUACCUCCCAAAGUCCCGUACGCGUAACCCAACUCCCUCCAGAAGAUAAUCCUGUGCCCGUACGGUUGCCGGAGCAAAUCUCCCCAUCAAAUUCGGCCGAAUCUUUCUCAAUCACCCAAAAUUGCUUGAGGGUUAUCGAUCCACUCGAUCUUCUCUUCCUGUUUUUUUCCAAUAUCAGAGUGUAAAACUCAGGAUAAAAAUGACCAGGAAAGAUUGCCGUCAUCAUCCAAUUGAGGGUUUUUGAUCCAGAUUGCCGUCAUCAUCCAAUAUUGGUUGAGGGUUUUCGAUCCACUCGAUCUCUUCUUUUUGUUUUUUUCCAAAACAUAAAACUCAGGAUAAAACAACCGAUGAAGAUCGCUGUCAUCAUCGGCAACUCUUAGAUGGAGAUUAAAUCUAACGAAUUACAGACGAAUCAAAAGAGAAAAUCAUCGAGGAAAUGAUGGGAGAGGAGUAGCGAAUUCAUUUUUACAAUAAAAUUGGAGGAGGAAACGCACUAUCAAUAUGACGGCGGCACGGCGCCAGGGUUCAACUCGGGAGACGUGCAGCUAAAACAAAUCGGAUUAAAAAACCGGAUGAAAAAACCAAAAGUGCACAGGAGGUGCGUGGUGAAUAGAUCGGAUUAAAAAAACCGGACAAGAAAAACCAAGAGCCUUAGCGCGUGCGAAAAAAACUCUUUCACGUGCAAAAAAAAAUGGAAAAAAAUACUGGUGUCAAUAAAAACCAAACGGACUUUUUUUUACUGGUGAGAACUUUUUUUUUCCUUUUAUUUGGGGGAGUCGGAUAAUUUUUUUUAUAACAUUGUUUUUUUUACGGACGGCUUUUUUUUAUCGCUUUUUGAGUCGGACUUUUUUUUACGUUUUUGCGUCGGGUUUUUUUUAUUUUUUACAGACAACGAAAUUUGCUGGUUCUUUUUGAGGAGUAGAGAUAAAGAUUAAAACUGAAACAUAAAAUUAAAACCGAUUCAAACACGGAUGACGUACCAAAAUACUGGUAACAACAUCUUCAAUUUUUAUAAUAGUAGAGAUAUAUAAUAAAUAAAUAUAUUUUUACUUUUAUUAUAGUACUUUGUAAGACAUAUAUAUUGUUCUAGUGACUUUAAACUAAAUAUUUAUAAAGCUAUUGAUAGUCAAAAUUAUAAAAGUUUGACCUUAAUCAUAUCUGAAACGUCAAGAAUUAUAGAACCGGAGGGAGUAGUGGUGAAUGGUGACAAAACACCUUUUACAAUCUAAAACUUAAAUAAUGGAAAUUCGUUUCACACAUUUUGACCUUUUUGUUGCACUGUUUUAAACCCUAUGGCAUUUUCAAUUUCUUCAGGGAUUCAAGUCCAUAUCAUGCUUUAUCAGUUGGACCUACCUCAGGUUCUGGAAGACGAGUACGAUGGAUGGUUGAGUCCGAGAAUUUUGUAAGACCCCUUAACUUUCUCUUGUGCUGAUAGUAUUGCUCUGAAGUUCAUCUUGUCCAAUUCUAGUUCGUAAACUUUGAACAUUAAUAACUAAAAUUAUAAGCAUAUUUGGCAUGUAAAACUAUAUAAAAAAAUAUACUUCAAUGCAUUUUUAUAAUAUUUUUUUGAACGACCCACACUACAAAUAUUAUAUAAUAUUGGUCUUGUAGACAUUAACAAAAUAGUUUAUGAGUACUAACCGUCAAAGUUUAUACAAUUUGACUAUUUGACUUUAUAGUACGCCUUAUAAAAACAAAUAGAGGGAGUAUAUAAACAAACUUGUUGGGCACAACAAAGUACUCAAUGAAUUAACGGCUUUACAAAAAACUAAAAGAGAUGCUCCAGGGGCCCAGCGACAGGGAAUUGAGCGAAUUGAUCAUAGGAUGUUAUAGAAAUGAUCACAAGUUACCUAGUGAUAUUUCAUAGAGAGUGGACCUGAAAUCCUAAUCUCCAGUGUCACUGCAAACGCAGGGAGGAUUUCAAAGCAUAUGCAGAUGUGUGCUUCAAGGAGUUUGGAGACAGGGUUGCACACUGGAUUACAAUUGAUGAACCUAAUGUUGCUUCAAUUGGGUCUUAUGAUUCCGGACAAUUGGCCCCUGGGCGUUGCUCUGAUCCUUUUGGAAUAAGAAAAUGUACAGUAGGGAACUCAUCUGUGGAGCCAUAUAUAGCAGUUCAUAACAUGUUACUGGCACAUGCAUCAGUCACAAAACUGUACAGAGAAAAAUACCAAGUGAGUUAUCAUGUAUUCAGAAUUAGUAGUAGCAUUGUUCAAUUGGCCAAAUCUUUAUGUGUUCAUAAAAGAGUUUUACAUAUAGGUCGCAGGAAAAGGAAUUAUCGGCAUAAGUGUUUACACAUUUUGGGCUUAUCCAUUAACAAAUUCUACUGUCGAUUUAGAAGCAACAAAAAGAUGUCAGGACUUUAUUGUCCACUGGUAUGUCAUGUUGACUCUUUAUGUUUGCAUCUGAAUAUUAAUGUGAAAAAAUAGAUGGGGCAAACAGAGUUGUGGUGCUCUUUCUAGGGUACUAAGACCCUUGGUAUUCGGUGAUUACCCACAAGUAAUGAAGAACAUUGUCGGUUCUCGCCUUCCAUCCUUCACAAAAGCCCAAUCUGAAGAUGUCAAGGGUUCUCUAGAUUUCAUUGGAAUGAAUCACUACUACUCUCUCUAUGUGAAUGAUCGUCCUUUGGGUAAGGGCACACGCGACUUUGUAGCGGAUAUAUCAAUUUACUACAGAGGUAAGAACUUUUCUGUCGAUGAAGGCAUUAUUGGCUUAUUGCUGCACUGCACUUCCCCAGUCAUAGGAGCAGGAAUUUUUGGUACAUUUGUCUAGCGGUAAUAUCUUCCUUUCAAAGAACUACUAGCAACAACACAUAAUCAAAUACUCCUACAAUCUUAUGAAAUCUACUCAUUCCGUUUCAUAUUAUAAGACUUUCUAGCAUUGCCUAUAUUCAUAUAUAUGUUAAUAAAUCUAGACAUAUAUAUGUGUUUAGAUUUAUUAACAUCGAUAUGAAUAUGAGCAAUGCUAGAAAGUCUUAUAAUAUGAAAUGGGGGGAGUAUGUAUAUAUAUGUAUUUAGAUUUAUUAACAUCUAUAUAAAUAUGAGCAAUGCUAGAAAGUCUUAUAAUAUGAAAUGGGGGGAGUAUGUAGCAUGUGCAAAAUCUAAUCAAAUCCCUCUGAUUCAGGUUCCAAGACAGAUCCACCACCUGGUAAGGUAUGGUUUCCCAUCGAUGUCUGUUAGAUAUGCUGCUGUGUUGAACUGUUUCAAACCUGAAAAAUACCAAAAUAGGAAUUUUCAUCUAAUUCAACAUAUUAAAAGCAAAUAUGCAAUACACACUUAAAAAAGAUAAUACAAUUUGGAAGGAACAAAAUUGCACCCAUUAUUCGAGCUGUGAGUUGUGACAGAUCUUAUUUUUUAUUGCGGAGCGCAGGCCGCUCCAACAUCUAUUGGACCUGACCCACAAGGAUUGAGAUUGAUGGUGCAGUACCUACAAGAAACCUAUGGGAACCUUCCCAUUUAUAUCCUCGAGAAUGGCAAGUUAUUUGUUGUGGUUCAGUUACUCCACUGAAAAUUUGCCAAUGUUUAUGCAGACUUGUACUGUUCUUUUUUACCUUACAUAUUUGGUUUCUCUUCGCCCUUCUCUUCAGGUUAUGGAUCAAGCAAUGACACUGUCCAUGACAAUGACAGGGUUGAUUACCUGAAGAGCUAUAUAGGGAGUAUCCUGACUGCACUAAGGUGAAAACAUCGCCAAAAAGAGGAAACAGAUCGGAUAAUUUUCAGGCAAAUGCUUUGCAGUUUGCUCUGAAAUUCUUCAGACAUUUUGAUCAGGAAGAACUCCUCUCUGCAGGAAUGGCGCCAACGUGAAAGGCUACUUCGUGUGGUCAUUCGUGGACGUGUUCGAGUACCUGACGGGGUACGGCCAAUCGUACGGCCUCUACCGCGUCGACUUCGCCGACGAGUCGCGGCCGCGGCAGGCGAGGCUCUCCGCUCGCUGGUACUCCGGCUUCCUCAAGAACAGGGAGAUGGAUGUUGAUCAGAGUGAGCUCGCCAUGGCAGCAGCAGAGUCACGAGCUCAGCAAUGAGUUGCAUACACCUGAUUUGGCAGUAACAUUAUAGCAAGAGUUAAAAUUCUUGAAAGACAUUGUAGCAAGAGUUAAGCAGAGAGGAAGUCACCUGGUCUGGCUCUCUGUCACACAUAUAUUUACUCAGGACUUGCUCCUGCACACGAAAUACAGAUUAUGUGGUAUAAAACAAUGUCAUCAAAUAUUAUGAGAUUUUUUUCGUAACCAUCGUUUGGUAUCUAUACUCUAUAGUACAAUUUUAAUAGAUUCCAAUGGUGGUGGUGAGUGAUGAAUUAGCCACCCACAACCACCAACUCCCUGAUAAGUGGGGUCCUUGUUGUCAGGGUGUAUGUGACUUCCAAAUUAACAUAUGAAAGUGAUGGCAAAAGCAGCUUAGAUGAUCUAUACAACUUUAAAGGAUUCCAAUGGUGGUGGUGGGUGGUAGAUUCACCACUCAUCACCACCAACUCCUUGACAAGUGGGGUCCUUGUUGCAGAGUGUAUGUGCCUUCCAAUUUUCCAUAUAUGAAAGUGAUGGCAAAAGCAACUUAGAUGAUUAGAGAAAAAUAAUAGAGAUAAUUUGUUUAGCGCUUCUAACAUGUGUAUAAUAAGAUUUUCUUUUUUAAAUUUCCAUUGCAACGCACAGACAUUCAACUAGUACUGACAAAGAGGGUACACCACGUAGGGUUUACAAAACUCAGUUUAUGAAAAUGCAGACUUUGCGGACCGGCCCAAAUACUCAAACUGCUCGGUUUUUAGGUAAGUUCAAGAAAAAUCAAACUGAAUUUUUGACAAAAUUUGACCAGAUUUUCUCUGGAAUAUGGGCCGGGCGGCCGGCGUCUGCCUGCAACCUGCACACGACGACAUACACUCUGAUGCAUCCACAAGAGACAAACGUGGACGAAAGCAUCUAUGCUUUGCACCGCUCGCCGUAUCCUCCCCGUGGCUUUCACCUGCCACCUACUCCACCUAACAAACACUACUCCCUCCGUUUCACAAUGUAAGUUAUUCUAUUUUUUUCAUUCAUAUGUUUAGAUUUAUUAAUAUCAAUAUGAAUAUGAAUAAAGUUAAAAUAAUUUACAUUGUGAAACGGAGGAAGUAACUAAUUGGAGAUUUAACAUCACCUGAAACAACGACGAAUUAAGGUGGUGUUAAAUCUCCAUUUAGUUAAUUUUUUUUUACGGAAGGAGUACACACAUAGCGUGACACUCCUACAAGUAUCCUCCAUGCGAUCAGUAGUGUAGCGACGAGGGGUGAGAGAGAUGGCAGCGUCGACGCCGGCGGCGAGCAGAGAGCGGCGGUGGAGCCUCGCCGGCAAGACGGCGCUCGUCACCGGCGGCACCAAAGGCAUCGGGUACCGUGUGCACUCGCCGCCGUCACCGUCUCCUUACACAGUAGUACUACGUGUGCACGCAUGCAUGGCGGAUUGCUGACGUCAUGCGUUACGUCGUGUUCGUGUGUUGCUUGGUUUAAUUGGCAGGCGCGCGAUCGUGGAGGAGCUCGCCGGGUUCGGGGUGAGGGUGCACACGUGUUCACGCCACGACGCCGACCUGCAGGACUGCCUCCGCCGGUGGAACGCCGCCGACGGUGGCGGCCUCGGCGGCGGCGCGGCGGCGCCCGUCACGGCGUCCGUCUGCGACGUGUCGGUGCGCGGCGACAGGGAGGCGCUGGUGGCGGCGGCGCGCGCCGCGCUCGGCGGGAGGCUGGACAUACUCGUCAACAACGUCGGCCAGACGCUGUUCGGCGCGGCCGCGGCGUGCGCGGCGGAGGACUACGCGCGCAUCAUGGCGACCAACCUCGAGUCCUGCUUCCACCUCGCCCAGCUCGCGCACCCUCUCCUCCUCGGCGCCGGCGGCGCCGCCGCGAGCGUGGUGAACAUCUCCUCCGUCGCAGGGUUCAUCGCCUACCCGGCGCUGUCCGUCUACUCGGCGACGAAGGGCGCCAUGAACCAGCUCACGCGGAGCCUCGCCGCCGAGUGGGCGCGCGACGGCAUCCGCGUCAACUGCGUCGCGCCGGGCGGCGUCCGGACCGAUAUCGCCGGCAGCAGCGGCGUGGCGCUGGAGCCGGGGGCGGCGCGGGCGAUGGAGGAGAGGGAGGCGGCGCGGGUCGUCAUGGGCCGCAUCGGCGAGCCCGAGGAGGUGGCGUCGCUCGUCGCGUUCCUCUGCAUGCCGGCGGCGCCGUACAUCACCGGGCAGGUCAUCUGCGUCGACGGUGGCCGCACCAUCACCGCCUAGGCAGCUAGGCUAAUGAAUCCAGAAUUCCUAAAACAUAUUUUGCUUUGCUCUCGUUACCGAUCAUAUAAACCAGAUAUUUGCUCCAGUCUAGCAAAAAAAUAUCUCGAAGUACCGGUACCUCACGGUACCAAAUCAUCUCUGAUCACUAGAUAUAGCUCGGUAGGAUAGGUAUCGUCAAAUCCAACAAUUAGAAAAGAUUUAGUACCGUGAGGUACCGAUACCUCAAGAUAUUUUUUAUUUGAUCGGAGCAAAUCUCUAUAAACCAUUAUCAAUCUACCGCCCUACAUAUAAUUUAGUCCCUCAAAACUUCAUUCUGAGGUCAUAUUUGUUGAUUUGUAAUGUUUCAUUAUGUCUAAACAAAUCGGAUAUAAUUUACUACCGGGCCAAUAUAAUCUUUAGAUACACCUAAUGUGCCACAUGGACAUGGGCAAGAUAAUGCCCCUUUUGAUUUGUAGAAAGAACAUAGAAAAUUUGAAGGAUUGCAGUUCUAUUUUUUUAAAAAGAAAAUCCUACGAAGGUUUUUGAAACAAAAGAUUAAAUCUUUUUUUUAAUUUUUUUAUGGAAUGAACAGCCCUAUAAAAAUAUUGGAGAAAAGUUAGUAAGAGCUCUAACCUCUUAAAAAAUUUCUUUUAAGUCUAUCUAUCAUUUGAUUUUUUUUAUCUUUCAUGUGGCCUAAUUAAAUUAAAUGACCAUUCCUAUGUUUUAUAAUAUACUAUCAAUUCCAGUAGAAUUCACAUGUUUUUUCUCCCUUUUUUUUUUCAAUCCGAUGUUUCAAAGAAGCCCUAUUCAGCAAAGUCCAAGUCUAUUAAUGAAAAAAAAUAGGUAUUAUCAUAUUAUGCAAACUAACUCUGAUUGCAACCAAGAAAAGAAAAAUGAAGGGCUAACCAACCUGGGAUUGGGGUAGAGCCAGCUGACGAGGUGUAAUCAGGAUGGCAAACAAUAUUUUCUUAUUGUUAUCAACUUGUAUUUUUAUAGUCUACAGAUCAACCUAAUAUGUCAAUUGGGCUUUGGGCAAGACCAAGCCUACUAAUGAACAACUUCCCAAUAAUCUCUUAUUGCAACCGAGAAAAUAAGGAAGGGGAUAACCAACCUAUUGGUUGAAUCAGCAAUAAAUUAGUGGAGUCAGGUGGCAAUCAAAAAUUUCUUACUGUAAACAACUUAUUAUAGGAGUUUUAAGGCCAUAUAUAUUAUUUAUAUCCAUCUAGUGUAUCAGGUUGGCAAGAUAAGUCGGUAAAGUUUAGGCCAAUAAAUAGCAUUAUACGAGCUUGGUAUCCCCAUGGUUUGAAAUUUUGAAUUGUAUCCGUUGUAUCUUUUGUUAGAUAAUGGAUAGAAACCCGACAUCUAUUUCUAUAGUUUGGAUAUACACACGGCCAAAGGAUACAUGAGUGCAUACACCCAACAUCUCGAACCGAGACACAAAGAAUAAACAAGCAAAUUUGUUGUAUCUUUUAGCAAAGUUUAAAAACAUUAACACUAUACGGAGGGGUAAAGAUGGGGUUCACCAGGAGAGGCUCCUCUAACUAACAUAACUUCCCACUGACGUGGUCAUUUAUACGUGGACCGAAGGUGUCCACAUGUCUUUUUUUUGAAACGGUCAGGUCUUACUGAUGUUUUAUAUUAAGAUGUCCACAUGUCAACCACACGUUUCUCUGACUGUACAUCAGAGAGUGUUUUGUCAAGAGGAAGACUGGAAGAGCGUAGGGGGAGGAGGAGAAAGGGAUCGUCAGUGUCUUAUUUGGAGAAAGAGGCGUGCCUUGGCUGGGCCUUGUGCGUCCAGGAGGAAGACCGAAUAUAUUUUGGUGCAUUAGAGCUCGAGCACAAGUCGCGCAUGGCGGCGGCGAGCAGAGCACGGCGGUGGAGCCUCGCCGGCAAGACGGCGCUCGUCACCGGCGGCACCAAGGGCAUCGGGUACGUACCUACGUUCUUGUAUGAGAUCAUGUGUGCAACGCGAUGUUGAUUUCGCAAGUGUUUGUUUGGUUGAUCUCGUCGUCAUCAGGCGCGCGAUCGUGGAGGAGCUCGCCGGGUUCGGGGUGAGGGUGCACACGUGUUCACGCCACGACGCCGACCUGCAGGACUGCCUCCGCCGGUGGAACGCCGCCGGCGAAGGUGGCGGCGCGGCGGCGCUCGUCACGGGGUCCGUCUGCGACGUGUCCGUGCGCGGCGACAGGGAGGCGCUGGUGGCCGCGGCGCGCGCCGCGCUCGGCGGGCGGCUCGACAUGCUCGUCAACAACGCCGGCCAGGUGGUCGUCGGCCCGGCCGCGGAGACCGCGCCGGAGGAGUACGCGCGCCUCAUGGCCACCAACCUCGAGUCCUGCUUCCACCUCGCCCAGCUCGCGCACCAUCUCCUCCGCGACGCGGCGGCGGGCGGCGGCGCCGCCGCGAGCGUGGUGAACAUCUCCUCCACCGCGGCGUUCUACGCCGCGCCGCACCUGGCGGUGUACUCGGCGACCAAGGGCGGCAUGAACCAGCUCACCCGGUGCCUCGCCGCCGAGUGGGCGCGCGACGGCGUGCGCGUCAACGCCGUCGCGCCGGGGGCCACCCGCACCGACAUCUGCGACACCAGCGGCGUGGCGCUGGGCGAGAAGACGAGGCGCAGGCUGGCGGACGCCGGCGCCAUGGACCGCGUCCCCAUCCGCCGCAUCGGCGAGCCCGAGGAGGUCGCCGCCGCCGUCGUCUUCCUCUGCAUGCCGGCCGCCUCCUACAUCACCGGCCAGGUCAUCUGCGUCGACGGCGGCCGCACACUUCUGUAGCUAGCUCGUCAGUAAUCAUCAAGAAAAAUAAUAAGAACAGCAUAUUGCCAAAUAAUUUUCCGAACGCAAUUCGGAUUCGGAUUAGGACCGAACACAAUACCGAAUAAUUUUCUCGAUAUUUUUGUUAGUAAUAAGUCUAGCUGCUCAGAGUAGUUAGUUUCCCUUUGUUUUUACGUUGAGUCUUGCACAUGAUCUGUUCAUCAUGUUUGUGUGCAUAGUGGGCUUGACGCACGCUGCGUUCGUGCGGAGUCCGUGGUGUCGUACGUGGUGUGCUCCAGUUCGUGGGAUGACGCGAAGUGGCAAGGAGUGUGGCACGCACAAUUAGGAGGCCACUAUGGCCACGUUUAACUUUCUUGUAAUUUGCUAUUUAAGGUUAAGCUCUAAUCCAGAAAAGCUGCCAGUUAAUGCAGCGCCAAAAUACUCUGUGUUGCUCUGUUUCUAUUUUGCCAGACAAGCUACAGUUUUUCGUUUUGCCGCUAACAAUUGGUAUCAGAGCCUUCGGUGAUCGCCGGGGUUCCUGAUGUCGCUACCAACGCCGCGUGUCUCCCACUCACCACCGCGUCGUCGCUGGCGCUCGCCGUCUCCGCGCCGUGGCCGUCAUGGCGGCCGCGACCAAGUCGUGGUGGAACGCGUCAUCCGCGAGGCGACCACGAGCAGCGUCGUCUACCCGACACUCACCCGCACAAAUUACCAAGACUGGGCGCUGGUAAUGCGGGUGAACAUGCAGGCCCAAGGUCUGUGGGGCGCGGUGGAGCCGGAGGGCGAUGAUCUCGUCGACUACCGGCAGGACCGGCAGGCGCUCGCCGCGAUACUUCGCGCCGUGCCCGCCGAGAUGCUCGCCACGCUUGCUGUCAAGGAGACGGCGCAGGAGGCGUGGGAAGCGAUCAAGACUCGCCGUAUCGGUGUGCAGCGCGUGCGUGAGGCGAAUGCACAGCAGCUGGCCGAGAAUUCGGUGAUAUCCUCUUCAAGGACGGUGAAACCGUCGACGACUUCUCGAUGCGGAUCGGCGGCCUCGCCAACAACCUUCGCACCUUAGGUGAUAAUAUCACUGAAGCUAAGGUCGUUCAGAAAUUGUUGCAGGUUGUCCCAGAACAUCUCCAGCAAAUAGCCAUCUCGAUUGAGACCUUGCUCGACGUCAAUGAGCUGUCUCUCGAGGAGGUUACUGGGCGUCUGCGCUCCGUCGAGCAACGCAAGCAGCGCAAGACUGCGGCGGCAUCGAGUCGGGUCGAUGCCAAUGGCCGUCUCCUCUUCACCGAGGAAGAAUGGCUGGCGAAAUUCCGCAAGGCGGCCUCUCUGCAAGACGCCGCUCACUCCUCCGGCGGCAACGGCGACCGCCGGGGUCGAGGGCGUGGGAAGAAGGACGAUGGAGCCCCGAAGGAGGCCCAGCCCAAGCCAGCCAACCCGGGAGGCCGUAACCUGGGAAAUUGCAAGAAUUGCGGCAAGAGGGGACAUUGGGCCAAAGACUGUCGCAGCAAGCCCAAGGCCCAGCAAGCUUACGUAGCCCAGGAGGAGGACGAAGAGCCUGCUCUGCUCCUGGCCAAGGUGCAGCUGGAUCCGCCGCGUCCUCGCGUCGCUGCACCGACAAACGUCGUCUCGCCACCGAGCGCGCCGAGGGCGCUGUCGCCGAUGGGCGAACUCGCCGUGGUCGAGGCCAAGGUCUUCGCGCAGCUAGACGGCGGUGGCGAACAUGAUCCGGCGAUGUGGAUCCUGGAUACUGGCGCAACCAACCAUAUGACCGGGUCCCGCUCCGCUUUCGCCGAGCUCGACACGGCGGUCACCGGCACUGUCAGGUUUGGCGACGGCUCGGUGGUUCGCAUCGAGGGCCGCGGCACCAUCCUGUUCUCCUGCAGGUUCGGGGAACACCGCGGCAUCGCCGGGGUCUACUACAUCCCGCGGCUCACGGCGAACAUCGUCAGCCUUGGACAGCUGGAUCGUUCCGGCAGCAAGGUACUGAUUCAUCACGGCGUCCUGCGCGUGUGGGAUCCUCGAGGGCACCUACUCGUCCGUGUCCGACGCUCCGACGACUGCCUCUACACCAUCAAGCUGGACAUCGACCGUCCGGUCUGCCUCGCGGCAAGGAGCGCCGAGCCGGCGUGGCGGUGGCACGCCAGGUACGACCACCUCAACUUUCCUACUCUCCGCAAGCUCGCGCAACAGGAAAUGGUUCGUGGGCUGCCGCUGCUGCAACAAGUCACUCAAGUCUGCGAUGGCUGUUUGCUCAGGAAGCAGCGGCGAGCGGCGUUCCCGACGCAGUCCAAGUACCGCGCUGACGAACACCUGGAGCUCGUCCACGGCGAUCUCUGUGGGCCGAUCGAACCUGCAACGCCGGCUGGUAAUCGGUAUUUUUUGUUGCUUGUCGAUGACAUGAGCCGCUAUAUGUGGCUAACCUUGAUCAGGAGCAAGGAUGAGUCCGCGAACGCCAUCAAGCACUUUCAGGCCCGUGCAGAGGUGGAGUCCGGGCGCAAACUCCGUGCACUGCGCACGGAUCGUGGCGGCGAAUUCACCUCAAUCGAAUUUGGGGAAUACUGCGCCAAUCUCGGAGUUGGUCGGCAGUUGACGGCGCCCUACUCCCCGCAGCAGAACGGAGUAGUGGAGCGUCGAAACCAAACCAUCAUCGCCACUGCCCGCAGCAUGAUGAAGGCGAAGGGUGUUCCUGGGCGGUUCUGGGGAGAGGCCAUGUCCACAGCGGUCUUUCUCUUGAAUCGUUCGCCGACGAAAAGCUUGGACAACCAGACGCCCUAUGAAGCAUGGUAUGGCCAACGGCCCGCUGUGCAUUUCCUGCGCACUUUCGGGUGCGUGGGGCACGUCAAGAUCACCAAGCCUGGGCUGAAGAAACUCGAUGACCGGAGUGCGCCAAUGGUGCUCCUCGGCUACGAGCAAGGCUCGAAGGCCUACCGGCUCUAUGAUCCAGUCAGCGAGCGCGUCCAUGUGUCCAGGGACGUGGUGUUUGAUGAAGACGCCGCCUGGGACUGGGGACCAGUGACACCUGAUGGUGCUCCCUAGCUCAAGCCGUUCACCGUUGAACAGGUGGUGACGACCACCAUCGGGACGGCACCUGCUUCGUCGCCGACUCCGCCCUCGCCACCAUCGCCGGCUCCGUCGGCCCCCACGACGCCGGCACCUCCGUCACCUCCGUCGCCGGAGGCGGUUGAGUUUGUCACGCCGCCUACCCAGGAUUCCAUCCUGGACGUCGACGCAGAUGACGACGUCGUGCCUCGCUACCGCCUGGUGGAUAACCUGCUGGGGAAUGCCUCACCGCCCGGACACGCUCCGCGGGUGCUGGAACAGCUCGAGCUCCAUGUUGUGAGCGCCAACGAACCUGCUUCACUGGCUGAGGCUGAGGCGGAUCCAAACUGGCGUGGCGCCAUGCAAGAUGAGCUUAACGCGAUCGUCGACAACGACACUUGGUCGCUCACUGACCUACCCCAUGGCCACCGUGCAAUUGGGCUAAAAUGGGUCUACAAGCUGAAACGUGACGAACAGGGGGCGAUCGUGCGCUACAAGGCGCGCCUCGUCGCUAAGGGGUACGUCCAGCGACAGGGGGUGGACUUCGACGAGGUCUUCGCACCUGUCGCCCGGCUGGAAUCGGUGCGCCUCCUUCUCGUCGUCGCCGUGCACCAAGGGUGGCAAGUCCACCACAUGGACGUCAAGUCGGCAUUCCUCAACGGCGAGCUGCUCGAGGAAGUUUAUGUCUCGCAGCCGCCGGGUUUCGUCGACGACAACCACAAGAACAAGGUGUAUCGCCUGCACAAAGCUCUUUACGGCUUGCGCCAGGCGCCUCGCGCGUGGAAUGCCAAAUUUGAUAGCUCCUUGCUGUCACUCGGCUUUCACCGCAGCAGCUCCGAGCAUGGUGUGUACACACGCACCAGGGGAGGAAGACGACUGACGGUGGGCGUCUACGUCGAUGACCUCAUCAUCACCGGCGAUCAUGACGACGAGAUCCGCAGCUUCAAGGGAGAGAUGAUGAAGCUCUUCAAGAUGAGUGAUUUGGGGGCACUCAGAUACUACCUCGGCAUCGAGGUUACCCAGGACAGUGAUGGGAUCACGCUGGGGCAAGCCGCAUAUGCCAGCAAGAUUCUUGAGAAGGCAGGACUCAAGGACUGCAAUCCCUGUCAGACUCCCAUGGAGGUACGUUUGAAAUUGAGAAAGGGUUCAGAUUUUCCACUUGUGGAUGCUACACUGUAUCGCAGCUUGGUUGGGAGUCUGCGCUAUCUCGUCAACACGCGACCCGACCUGGCAUUCUCUGUUGGGUAUGUCAGUCGCUUCAUGGAGUCACCCAGGGAAGACCAUCUUGCUGUCGUUCGACGCAUACUGCGCUAUGUGGUAGGCACUCGCUGCUGGGGAAUUUGAUUUGGCCCAGGUGCACGGUGCGCUUUGCCAAUGCUGGUUGGUUACUCUGAGAGUGAUCUGGCUGGCGAUCCAGAUGAGCGAAAGAGCACGUCCGGCCAGAUUUUCUUCAUCAAUGGCGGGCCUGUCACUUGGCAGUCCUCCAAGCAGAAGGUGGUGGCAUUGUCCUCCUGUGAGGCCGAGUACAUCGCCGCAGCCGCCGCAACAUGUCAAGGAGUAUGGCUCGCGCGGCUGUUAGCGGAGGUGCUGGGCGACGAGAUCGCCACACCGCUGCUGAAGGUGGACAACCAGUCCACAAUAUCAUUGAUAAAAAAUCCAGUGCAUCAUGACCGGAGUAAGCAUAUCGAUGUCAAAUAUCAUUAUAUCCGGGAGUGUGCAGAAAAGAAACUGAUCGAAAUGAUGUUCGUGGGAACUGCGGAGCAGCUCGGUGAUAUAUUCACCAAAUCUCUGGGCAGAACCAGGUUUCAGGAGCUUCGUUCAAAGAUCGGUGUCUGUUCUCUUGACAAGAGCAGUCAGACUUAAGGGGGUGAUUUGUUAGUAAUAAGUCUAGCUGCUCAGAGUAGUUAGUUUCCCUCUGUUUUUACGUUGAGUCUUGCACAUGAUCUGUUCAUCCUGUUUGUGUGCAUAGUGGGCUUGACGCACGCUGCGUUCGUGCGGAGUCCGUGGUGUCGUGCGUGGUGUGCUCCAUUUCGUGGGAUGACGCGAAGUGGCAAGGAGUGUGGCACGCACAAUUAGGAGGCCACUAUGGCCACGUUUAACUUUCUUGUAAUUUGCUAUUUAAGGUUAAGCUCUAAUCCAGAAAAGCUGCCAGUUAAUGCAGCGCCAAAAUACUCUGUGUUGCUCUGUUUCUGUUUUGCCAGACAAGCUACAGUUUUUCGUUUUGCCGCUAACAAUUUUGACUUGUCGACGAGACGCGACGCGAUCCGAUCGGCUGGCAAUGGCGGUAGACAUGAUGCAGUAUCUCACUGCCACAUACCGUCUCUACCACAUGCUGCAGCAAACUAUAUCCCGAACGAGAAGAUUUGAAUUUUGAGCAAAAUUUCGCCGAAUUUUAGCACUUUUUUUUUGCUAAAAUUCGAACGAAUUCGGAAAUUUUUUUACCAGAGGCACUUUGGAGUUAGGAGUCAGGAUUGAGACUGCACAAGAUCCCAAUUGCACUUGUGGUUUCAAAUUUUAAUCACGGCUAAAUGCACAAUUCCAUCAACGAGAAAUCUGAAGACUAGGCUAUUCAGAUUGUAGCGAAAAUAAACCUUACCAAAUUUUGACAAGUUAACAAUGUUAUCAAAAUUUUGGUAGGAUUUCUUAUGUAUUUAUCAAAGUUUGGCAACAAACUAAAUGCAACACUUCUUUUUGGUAAUUUUAAAAAAAAUAGUUCGGUUGAAAAUGACAUCAAUCCGAACAGCCCCUGUGUAAACGCUGUAGUGUAGUGUAGUGUACCAGUGCAGUGCUAGAGCUUCCAGUAGAGGCGAGCACGGUGGAGGAGGCCGGCGACAAGGGCCCAGAACAAGAUCUGCGCGAAGAGGACGUAGAGGAGGAUGCCCACACGGGUGGAAUGCCACACCUUCACGAACACAUGCUUCCUCACCCAGUAAACCUGCAAUAUCAUCAUCAUCAUCAGCAGCAGCAGCAGCAGGAUGAGCUUUAUCUGAAGAAAUCCCAAAACCAACAAAGUUCAGUUGUGCUAGAGCUUAAUUCUACCAGUGUGUUGUUGGUGCCCUCGUAGUACCACCCGUUCAAGAACCCUUCGAAGAUGCCUGCCGCCGCCAUCACGUACACCAGCAUCGCGUUCAUGCCGGUCCAUUUCAGGGGUGCGAAUGGGUAGUGCAGAUUCAGGAUGUCAACCUACAAUAUGUAGGUAAGUUUAGAGUGUAGUUAUUCAGCUGGUCAGUGAGCUGGAACUGAACAUUGCACAAGACUGAAGCUCGAUUCACUGAAGUAUCAUGCCAUUUGCUGAAUCUUUGCCAGUGAGCUCGAGGGCAAGGACUUGAUUGUGUGGUUUUAGUAGUUCUAGGAGCUUGAACAGUCGAUCGAUUAAUUGUACAUGUAUGGUAGCAUACGAUUUGAAUCUUUGGUUUUUCUUUCCGAAAUUUUUUGCACACCACUUUAAGGAUUCUUGAGGAUUUUUACCAGGAAGUAGAACAUGCAGAACACGAUUCCAGCCGCACCGGCAGUAACACAGAUAUAACUGAAGGUGUACAGUUGCUUGUUCAAAGGAAUUGCUGCAAGAAAAAUGAGAGAAUACCAUGAUGAAACAAGAGGAGGUAAGAGAAAUCAUAGUUACUAUACUUUAUAUGCUAUACCAUGUGAAAAGUGCAGAGUAAGCCCAAGAAUGAGGAGAGUUAUGCCCAUGAUAGACCACUGCUUUAGUCUGUCCGUGUGGCUCUGUGGUUUCAGGAAAAAUAAACUGUCAUAAUUGUGUUCUAGCCUACACCCUUUACAACAUAAAAGGUCUGAAACAUGAAACAGAAAUAACCUUCAUAUGAACAAGCACAUGCCCAUAAUGCACCCCGAUGAUCGUACUCAACACCGCGGACAGUGAGCUACAAAAUCAACGAAUGAACAAUGUAAACUGGGAACUGAAACAUCACAAAUUCUUAUGAGAUUAGUUAUGGUGGAAGUAUGAAUAAUACCUUAGUAACCCUUCAGGUUCAAAUGGUGCAUAACACCACGCCGGGGAAUCAGUUUUAAAAGGUCCCUCAUGUGGGGAAUCAUCAGUACAGUCCUGCAUGAACCAGUACAGAAGUUGAUAAACAUGUGAAGAUAAACUUUCAGAAUAGCACUAGUUUUUUUUUUUUUUUCAGAAUCAAAACACACACCUUGUGCCUCCUCCAUGCUGGCCUGUGGUACAUAUGAUUGAUACCAAGAACUUUACGGUCAAUAUAACCUACAGCAUUGCAAGGAGGACUUAAUUUUCCCCGUGUACCACAUGUCACCUAAGACAUUAGGAAACAUCAAGUAUGAGCUACAAUUUUCACAAAAGAAUGUAAUGUUGGAGUGCGACAAAUACAUACUACCAUUUCAGCUUUAUGAUUUAUAGUAGCUUACUAGUGUAUCAAGCUUACUUUAGUAGAACAAUUAAACAAAUAUGCCAAAAUUGAGUACUCUCAUACCGUCAAGAUUUUGCCGAAGUUUGGAUUUUUAACAUCUGACACUCUGAAAUCCCAGUCAGGAACAUAAAUCCCAUAUACAAGGGACAGGUAGAUCACAAGGAUGCAACAUGCAACAAUCCUGGUAAGUACACAGAACCCUCAAUUAGUUGUCUAGAACUGAAAUCUUUCACAAAUCAUGGGUUACAUGAUCAUAAAGCUCGCAUACCACUGGGAGAAGUACAUCCUGAAAAUCGAGAAGCCCGAACUUGACUGGUCCUGAACCUUUGCAUUCUUCGUUACGAUCUCUAGAACUGCAACCACCAAGUAUGCAAGAGCAAUCCUUUGGAGAAUACCACACCAUCUCACGUGCUUCAUGUCAACUCCAUAAGACAAAUCAUCAGGGGCAUGGGAGUAACCGCCUGAAUUUCAUAAACAACUACCAAUGUGUUAAGACUUCGUCUAUGUGGAUAGGAUGAGGAAUUCAUGGUUCUGAAAGGCAUAUUACGCAGAAUGACCUUGCAACAGAAUUCCCCAAAAAAGCAGCUUCAGUGUCCUGAGCACUACUCUCCUCACAGCUCGACCGCGGUCUGGAAUCCUCUGCAUGUUUGCUUCAGGUAAAAGGUUGAGGCCAAGAAACAUCAAAACUCAGCUACUAGUAAUUUUAAAAAAGAAAAUCAUAAAAGUUCAGAAGAGAAGCAUCGGAUAUGAUUAUUUUCUUCUAUUUAUGUUCUUCAAUGUUAGUUCAAAUUUGACAAUCGGUAAUGCAACAUAGUUUCAGUUUGUAUAAAUAAUAAAAUAAGUCCCAAACUGAAAUGAGAUGCAGAGUUGCAGACUACUCAAAUGGAAGACAAGAGAGCGGAGGACCUUGAGGGAGAGGGGAAUAGCCAUGCCAACGAUGAAGAGGAAGAAGGGCAUGACGAAGUCGGCGAGGUUGCAUCCGUUCCACGGCGCGUGGCCUAUCACCGGCCACUCGCCGCCGGCGCCGUCCACCAGUAUCAUCAGCUGCACCCCCAGACGAGCACAACCACAUCAAAACAACAAGAUGAUGAGCAGCAACCGACCAAAAAUGUUAGUAGUAUUACUUACAGCGACGGUGAGGCCACGGAAGACGUCGAGCGACGCGACCCGCCUGCUGGUCCGGCGAGGCGGAGGCGCCUUCUCGUCGACGUCGACGCCGUCGUCGUCACCUUCUUUCCCCGAGCGGUCGCCGCGGCGGCGGUCGGGAUCCUCCUCCGCCACCGCGCCGUGCCGCCGCGCGACGCCCUGGCCACCGCCGUCCAUCCCCAGCGAACAAUCUCACACAGAAGCAGCAGCGGCCGCAGGCAAAAAGCUGCUCGUGUCGUGCCGCGCGUGGAUAAGAAGAAGAGGAGAUCGGGGAGAGAUAUUCCGACGGAUUGCUGGAACUGGAAGCGAUCAGCAAUCAAUCAAUCAAUAGCUCUAAUACAAUGACGUUCACGAAAAACAAUCAAUAAUAGCUCGUCGCCCUCGUCGGCUAGCUGGCUGGCUACUUGCUCCUCGCUUCGCUUGUCUCUCUCCUCCUCUCCAACGAAGCCCGCGCCGAGGCUAACAUGAUUGAAUCGCUGGAGGGUGACAGGUGGGGCACACCUGGCGGUGUCACGAGCGUGGCGAACAUAAUGCUCGCCUUUUUUUUUUUUUAUUUUUGGCGGUUGUGUGGAUCACGCCGAGUGUUAUAGUGUCGUCGUUUUCCGGAGAUUCACGUUUUGUAGCCAUUCCGCUGAACUCAGCACAGUCAAAUUGUUGGAGUACUGUACUAACAGUAUUUUUUUUUUUGGGAAUUGCUAAAAAUCUUGCGACCAGUUUUUCUGAAAGAAAUCUGUCAAUUUUUUCAGAUUUGUUCCAAUUUUCGUUGUAGAUGUGAUUGGAGAAAUAGCCCCUAACCUUCCUUACCACCAAGCUAGUAUUGUUUCUAUGUUUCAAACUCAGUUACAUACUACUUACAGAGUGUAAUUAUAGUGUAAGUGGAAUGUAACUAGGAUGUAGCUACACUAACAUAUUUUUGGCUUAAAAUAUGUCAACAGUGCCAUACAUAGUCCCAUACUGUUUUUUUUCCAUGUUAUACUCACAUUGUGACCUACCCCGUCCUUCAAAUACUUCUUUUUUUUCCUUCAUUUGUCUAGAAAGAGUCUGUAAUCUUUUAAGGCAAUCAAUAUAUUAUGUAAUGAAUUUUGAAAAUGUGGGAGACAAGUACAUAAGAAUUUGAAAACGUAAAGAACAUUUUAGUUUUUUUUUCUCUGGUAUUCACCUAAUUACUCUCACGAAUUACAUACAAUGUAAUUAUAGGAGUAUAAUAUUAAAUAUUUUAAGAAAUAAAACUUAACACAUAGGAGUAUUAGCUUAAACACAAGCGGUUCAAGCUAAAAAUAAAACUGUCAAGAAAAUGUAUCCGAUGAUAAAUCCGAAGAAAGGGGGCCAUCGCACAUAGAAUUUGAUUUUGAGACCACGUUGAGGAAUAGCCCAAUCAAAACGAUACAACUUGAGUUAUUCCAAAGUCUAAACAUAAACAAUUCCUAAAUGAAAAAUACUACUAGUAUUCAAACAACCAUGCGAGAUAGCAUGCUUUAAUAAUAAACAAAGACAUAAAAAAACAAAUCGCCCCCCUCACGGUAAGCAACUCAAACGAAGCUAAACUAAACUAAACCAAAGCAGUUGAAUGCCUCGGCGUGCGUGCCGAACCAUCCAUCAAAUCAAAUCGAAAGCUACAACCAUCAGCGAGAUGAUCUUGGCGACGGAUGGCUACUGCGACUGCGACUGCGAGACGAUCUUGGCGACGGAUUGCGCCGAGAUGGGCGGCAAGCUGAGCGCGCAGAGGCUCUCCCACGACGCGGCCGCGGCCGCGGCGGCGCCCUCCUCCUCCUCCCUCGCCGCGGCGGCCUCCUUGGAGAAGGCGGCGUGCAUCGAGUUCACCAUCCCGCGCGCCGCCUCCCUCGCCUCCGGCAGCCGGUCGCUCAGCAGCUCCGCCGCCACCUGCAGCAUCGCCGACAUCCCGAACUCCUUCAUCGUCGCGACGUCCAUCCUCGACGCGCACUGCGACAUGGCGACGGCGGCCUUGGCCCUCACCCUGAGGUUGGCGUGGUGGACGUACGCCUUGAGCUUCCUGAGGAGCGGAAGGGGAGGCAUCGACGCCGCCAUCGCCCGCAUCGCCUUCUCCGCCUCCUCCGCCACGAACCGCUUGUCCUGCGACGCCUUCAGCAGCAGCUGAAGCAGCUGCGGUGAUUUUUGCAACCGCAAAUUGUUGUCAGCUCAGUGAACUGAAGAUUGUAGAUUGUUCAGCCAUUGUAAGAACGUACCAGCUUGUCGAAGGCGUCGUCGGAGGCGGAGGAGAGGAGGUUGCCGAAGGAGUCGAACACGUCGGUGCACGCCAUGAUGGAGGUCUUGCACACCGCGCUGCGCGGGCUCUUCAUCGUCUUCACGAUCGCCAGCAUCACCUUGCCACUGCUCGAUUAGCCACAAAACCAAAUCAAAUCAAAUUGAAAAUCCCACCAACACUUCUCCUGCUCAAAAUCAAGAGCAGUGAAUUGUGGAUGAACUGGAGCGCGUACAGGAUGGGGUUGAGGAGGGAGGGGUGGUGGAUCGCGAGGCGGCGCGCGUCGUUGAGCGCGUCGCACGCCCGGAUCCAGUCCUUGGAGUCAAGCUCCGCCACCAACCCCGCCGCCUUGGCCUUGGGGUGGGGCACCGGCUGGAGAUCCUCGGAGCGGACGUACUCCACCGCCUGCUCCGUUGUGGCCUUGGGCGCCGAGUUCUCGUCGUUCUUCUUCCUCUUCCCCUCGGGUGAGGCCGCCGGGACGACGGCGGCGGCGGCGGCGGACAGCUUGGGCAACUUCUUGGGCCGCUCCGCCGACGCCAUCGGCAGCGUGUUGUCGAGCGCGCGGAGUGCCAUGGAUGAUGGAUUUGCUUGCUGCUUCCUGAUCGAUCUGAGAAGGGUGAAGAAAUUGGAGAUAGAAAAUUUGGGGUAGUAGUUGAUGCGUUUGGUGAGUUGGGCGGUUUGGAAUUUUAAACGAGGAGAUUGGGAGUGUAACGGCUAUAAAAUGUUCGAAAUCGCAAGUGAACGUUGGGAGAGGAGGCCGUGAUGCUGCGUGGCUUUGUACCGUUGCCAUAAAGUAUCCAGAGAUUUUUAUUUUUUCACUCUUCUUUUAAUUACAAUGGCAUAAAGAGAAGAAGCCGUAUAUUAGGUAAAAAUUUCAAUGUAGACAAAUAAAUUUGCCAGAGGAAGCACGAAAUGCACGUUUGAUCUGUCGUGAACAUCAGAUUUUUCUCAGGGAUUGGAACAUUUUUCACGUGAAAUUCUUUCUUAUGAAAUCCCAGAGAUCAUCUUAGACUUGCGGCCCUAUCGUUUCGCUUAUUCGUAGAAUAAGCAAACAACAUAUUUGCAAACAGAAAAUAAUUUAUGAAUAAAACUUUUAUAUACGUGUUCUUAACAAUCUAAAAGCAAAGGGUGAAAAAUAAACUUUGAUAAAAAAACCCCCCAAAAUCAACUCCAAAUUUAAAGUUAAAAUUUUAAAUUUUAGCUGAUAAGAAUAAGCGAAAAGAUGAGGCUCUUGAUUUAGAAUGUAACCAUGUUUACAUGAUAAUAUAAACCAUGCGUAUUAUAUGAUUCUUGAGAAGCGAAAUGCAUAUGCCAUUCAAGUUGCCCCUAGGAGAAAGAAGGUGUGUCCACUUCGUUUGUUCCAAAACUGUAUGCAGCAAAGAAACAAGAAGCUGUCCUAAUUCGUGUCGGCGUGUCAUCUUCAGUAAACUUAUGUACAAAGGAGGGCGCGGCCACAUUCAUGAGUAAGGCCGCUCACUAUAGUACAGUAUUGUUGGCCUGAGAUCCCCAAAACAUGUUCAUUGCGCCCUGCCGUUGCAAUUCCCGGUAGCCUUCCUCCUCC